UGGCUGAUUCUAAGCAGUGUCUGGUAAACCUUCUCUCUGUUCUGCUGAGUAAAAUGUUUUAAUGUAUCUUUUAAAUCACUAUUUGGUACUUUUUGUUUAUGGUUUUAGGAAAGGUUUCAUCUUUAUUUUAUGGAGCUAAGCUAAUUGUGCAACUACAACGAUUGAUCUGAUUUUACUAGAGCUUAUGCACACCUGGAUUAUGUGGAUAGGAUCGCCAAUUGCUUAAGCUAGAGAUCUCGGUUGGAUCUGACGACAGGAAGAUAAUUUAUUUUGUGAUAUGAUAAUUAGCUUAUCGAUUUUUCUUUUGUUUCUGAUUCUGUAAUAUGUUGAUAUAUUCUUAUACAAUCAUAAUCCUUCUCAUUCAAUUUUCAGAUUUCUUGUUUAUAUGACCAUAUGUUUUUAAGAUUUCCUGUUCUUAUUUGGAUGAUUUUGAUACGGCAUGUGGUAUGAUGUUUGGUCCUGUUCUUAUUUUGUUUGAGUUUUGAUUAUGUUCUCUCUGUUCGGUUCGGUGUCUGAUGGUCCUUUGAUUUGGUUUUCUUAUAUGAGAUGGCAUAGACUUCGACGGAUAUAGUUAAAAUAUGAUUUUUUUGUAGAAGACAGAGCUUCAAGUUUGAGUAUUUUAUCCUUAUCCUGGUUUUGUUUUUAUUUUGUCGUUAGAAGUUUGGUUACCAUGUAAGAUGUUUGCUUGCAAUAUGAUACUCCUCGACCUUCGGCUGUUGCUUUGGACUGUGUUGUUCCACAGGUGUGGUAAGAAAGUGGAACUCAGCUCUGAGACAACCGUCAGUUCCAUAUAUUGUUCUCUCUCUCUCUCUCUCUCUCUCUCUCUCUCUCUCUCUCUCUCUCUCUCUCUCUCUCUCUCUCUCUCUCUCUCUCUCUCUCUCUCUCAUCCUCCUUAUUUUGGACCCUUUGGACAGGAUUACCUAUUGGCUAAGCGGGAAGAUAGGUUAUUUUACCGCAGUCAGUACCUUUUUUUUGUGGCUUAUGUCGUAGUUCCAUUUUUACUCUCUACUUGCUUACAGUCUAAUUAUUGGGAGCCUAUGUUAUAUGUUUCUUUUCUCUGCCUUACUGUCUAGGUCUUCUUUGAAUUAUUAUUUAUUUUGCAAGGUAUUUAGGUCUUCUUUCAAUGAUAGCAUCUCUUCCUUUAGGCUUAGAGUGACCUCCCGUGAUAUGAUGCAAGUAAGGGCCACAAAAUGCCCGUAGAUGGUGAGCCUAUCCACCACUAUCCAAAUAGCAUCCUUUCUUCUAGACUUAAGAGUGACCUCGGUGAUAUGGCGCGAGUAUGAGCCCGUACUUGGUGAGCCUAUCCACCACUAUCCAAAUAGGAUCCUUUCUUCUAGACUUAAGAGUGACCUCCGGUGAUAUGGCGCGAGUAUGGGCCCGUACUUGGUGAGCCUAUCCACCACUAUCCAUGUGGCAUCCUUUCAUCUAGACUUAAGAGUGACCAAGAGUGACCUCCGGUGAUAUGGCGCGAGUAUGGGCCCGUACUUGGUGAGCCUAUCCACCACUAUCCAUGUAGCAUCCUAGACUUAAGAGUAACCUCCGGUGAUAUGGCGCGAGUAUGGGCCCGUACUUGGUGAGCCUAUCCACCACUAUCCAAAUAGCAUCCUUUCCUUUAGACUUUAGAGUGACCUCCGGUGAUAUGGCGCGAGUAUGGGCCCAUACUUGGUGAGCCUAUCCACCACUAUCCAAAUAGCAUCAUUUCUUCUAGACUUAAGAGUGACCUACGGUGAUAUGGCGCGAGUAUGGGCCCGUACUUGGUGAGCCUAUCUACCACCAUCCAAAUAGCAUCCUUUCUUCUAGACUUAAGAGUGACCGCCGGUGAUAUGGCGCGAGUAUGGGCCCGUACUUGGUGAGCCUAUCCACCACUAUCCAAGUAGCAUCCUAGACUUAAGACUAUCCUCCGGUGAUAUGGCGCGAGUAUGGGCCCGCACUUGGUGAGCCUAUCCACCACUAUCCAAAUAACAUCCUUUCCUCUAGACUUUAGAGUGACCUUCGGUGAUAUGGCGCGAGUAUGGGCCCGUACUUGGCGAGCCUAUCCACAACUAUCCAAAUAGCAUCCUUUCUUCUUGACUUAAGAGUGACCUCCGGUGAUAUGGCGCGAGUAUGGGCCCGUACUUGGUGAGCCUAUCCACCACUAUCCAAGUAGCAUCCUAUACUUAAGAGUAACUUCCGGUGAUAUGGCGCGAGUAUGGGCCCGUACUUGGUGAGCCUAUCCACCCCUAACGAAAUAGUAGCCUUUCUUCUAGACUUAAGAGUGACCUCCCGUGAUAUGGCGCGAGUAAGGGCCACAAAAUGCCCGUAUCCUAUCCACCGCUAUCCAAAUAGCAUCUUUUCUUCUAGACUUAGGCAGCCCCACAAUGAAAUCCAUGGUGAUGUAAGACUAUGCCUUCAAAUCUUCGUUCAGCCGUCCCAAAAAAGCCCUAAUGUAAUAUUCUUCAGUUAAGUUUCUGUAAGAUCCACCCAUGUGUCUUCAUGUAUGGUAUUCUUUAGUUUCUUGACAUGGUUUUUUCCCAAAGUAUUAUUUCUUGCCUUAGAUUUUGGGAGCAGUCGUGAAAGUGUUCGGAUGUUAUUUCUAUCGGUUUUAUUGUCAUUGACUCACUCUGCAAUGGAAUUGGUUGUGAUUUUAGUUGGUCAGAUAAUGCACUACUGGUGUGGAACGUGCUGCUUCUGCAGAUCAAGUGAGUAGUUAUUCUAAAGAUCUCUCUAUUUGCUUUAUAAAUCUUGAAGUGGUCUUAUAUGCAUUGAGCUAUUUUAGUCUAUGAAGAUUUUUCUAAAGAUCAAGUGAGUAGUUCUUUGUCUUGGCAAUUUUUCUACACAUUCUUGAAGUUGGGACUAUGCAUCCCAGAAUAGUAAACCUGGUUCAGUUGCCCGUGUUGGAUUUCGCACUUGUAGGAUUUGUUGAUGUUAUGAUAUAUUUGUGGCUGCCGUUGGGGCCUCAGUUUCUGCUCGUAUUUUGUGAUUCUUAUGAGGAGACUUUAGAUUUGCUGCUCUGCUGUUUUGAGGAUGUUUAAAAUCAAUUGAAUAUGCUUUGGAAUACCAUUCUGCAGUGUGCACAGUUCUUUGUCAGUUCAUUGUGAUUUGUACUACGUGGGAAUUUUCUAGUGCGAGAAAUUUUUAUUUGCACAUUGUAAGUUAAUGUUUUUAUCUAAUACUGGUAAUAUGCUAAAGUGAUGCAUUUUUCAAGUCUCAAUGAAUUUAUUUGAUUAAGAUUUAGUUUUGCGUAAAUGUUUUAAGUAUUAGUUGCCUUAUGUGAAAAUUUAUUUCCUCUUGGACUUGUCCUCGGUACGACUUUGGUAAUUUUUUACACAUGAGGUUUUUCCUUCAUCAGUAAUGUUCACCACAAUAAUUAAAAGGAAAUAAAAAAGGGAAAUGAAUGAUUGAAACGUUACGAAAGUUUUGUUUAGUAACUAAGCUUUUAAUAGUUGUUGUCUGGAAUGGUAUGUACAAUUUCCUUGCUUAUAUCUAUGUGUGGAUUAUGUGUGUGUUUUAGUGUUGGUAGUUGUAUAUAUAGGUUUAUUCUUGUAACUCCGCCUUUGCCUGCAAUAUUUUAUUUGCUCAGCACAGCCGGUCCCAAGCCCGGGUAAAGGAGGAGGGGUUUUGAGGUUUUGGGGUUUGCUCGCCUCACAACCCAGUUGUUUUGGGGUUUUGGGAUCUGAGGUUUAAGUCUUGUCUAAAGCAUCUAAUGCGAUCAAGGCACAUUUUGUUAUUUAUUUAUUUCAUAGGACUUCUGUUCCCUUUUGUGUGUUAUAACCUUCUGAUGUUUCAUUUUGUCUUGUGCUUUCUGAUCUGUCCUUGAUUUUUAUUCUCUACUUGAGACAUAGGUUUACUUACCGUUUUGCAUUUUAAUGCUUCUUGUGUAAUUGGAAUCAUCCAGGUUCAGACAAUCUUCCUUCUUACUGUUGAUUUUAGAUAUUUGUUUGUCUGAUCACUAUGUUUUUUUGGUUAUGGGACUUGCUCGCCUUUAAUUUGUUGUGUUUUAUGGUUACCUUUGAAGAUUCUCGUUCCUUAACUAAGUCUAUUAUAUUAUGGUCGUUUGGGUCAACACUUUGAAAGACUUUACACUAUGGCCUGUUCUGUUCAUGUGAAUGGCUAUUGACCCUGUUUACGUUUCUUGUUUAUGCAGCAGAUGAAUCUGUCUCUGGUAAUGAAUGUGUUGAUACGAAAUAUUAGUCUGAAUUGCUUUCUGUGUUUUUAAUGUUGAUGACAAUCUGUUUUUUGCUGCAAGUAUGUGAUUUCUGUCCUAUUUCUGUCUAGACUGGUUUGAUUAAUUAUUAAUUAUAUCAUGAAAGAGCUGUUUUCAUUGCUCUAUCAGAUCACCCUUUGUUGGCCUUUGGAAAUAAAUUUUGAUAUCAUUCCUAUGUGUCGAGAAUUUUGAACUCUUCUUUUACUUGUUGGUUAUUAACUUUUUAUCCUUGGGUGGUUCGCUUUUCCGGAGCUGUGAUUUUGUAUUUACUUUAUUUUUCUUUGGCAGUCUUCAGUUAAUCCCUAUCAUGAAUUUCUCGAUUCUAGGAGACAUUUUUAUCAUAUUAACUUGACUCGUGAACUUCACUACAAAAUAUGAGACCAUGACUUGCAAUAAGACCCCGCCUUGUGUCUUCAUGUAAGGUGUUCUUUUGUUUAUGCACAGAGUUUUGUUUCUUGCCUUAGAUUUUGAAAGCGGUCGUAAAAGUGUUAGGAUGUUAUUUCUAUCGGGUUUUCUGUUAUUUUGCAACUGGAAUUGUUUGUGCUUUUAGUUGGUCAGAUAAUGCGUGCGGAACCUGCUUCUUCUGCAGAUCAAGUGACUAGUAUAAAUCUUGAAGUGGUCUUAUAUGCAUUGUGCAAGUUAAGGUUUUUUUUCCUGGCAAUUUUUCUAGGCAAUCUAAGUUGGCACUAUGCAUCUCAGAAUAAUAAACCUCGUUCAGUUGUCAAUUAGUAUUUGAAGUUGACUGUUAGGGCCUUGGUUUCUGCUCGCAUGUUGUGAUUCUUGCAAGGAGAUAUAUUACAUUUGCUGCUCUGCUUUUUUUGAGGAUGUUUAAAAUCUAUAGCGAUUUCUACUACGUGGGAAUUUCUAGUGCGUGAAAUUGUCGUUUGCAGAUUGUUAUUUGAUUAAGAUUUGUUGAAUGUGUAAAUGUGCGAGUAUCAGUUACCUUAUUUAAUAAAAUUUAUUUCCUCUUUGAUUUAUCUCCGAGACGACUUUGGUAUUUCCUUUAUCAGUUAUGUAAUGAAAAGAAAAAAAAGGGAAAUCAAUGAUUGAAACGAGUACGGAAGUUUUUGCUAGUAACUAAGCUUUUUAUAGCAAGUGUUUUGGUGACUUUUAGCUGCUUUGUGAUUAUGGGAUACCCGGUUAAUUAAUUUACUUAGGCCUCGUUUGGUUGCCAAGAUAAGAUUAACUAACAUAAAAUUAAAUAAUCUAAUGAAAUCAAAUUAUAUUAUUGGACCUCCGAUGAUUCAAUGAAAAACAUGCCUAGAAGGUAAUAUAAACUAUGAUAACAUAAUAUUUGCAGGUCGACCCGGCAAAGUUAUUGGGGAUACCAAACAUGAAAUAAAACCCAACUAUUUCGUUAAUAAUGGCAAAUCUACCCAACCAAACGAUGUCUUAUAAAAUUGACCUAUUUGUUUGUCAGUAUUAAAACUCAUAAAAACUAUGGUAUAUGAAUCAAGCUAUUUCUCAGCCUUAAAAUUUCUAGUCUAUAGGCAACUUAGGCAUGUGAUUAUGGUAUUAUAAUUAGGGCCCCCAAAAUUAUGUUUACUAUACUUAGGGCCCCAAAUGCAAAAUAAAAUUUACAUUUUCUUAUAUAAUCUUCGAGGCCCCUUGAUGGACUUAUUUGUAAAGACCCCUUAUAAUUUAAGAUAAUCUUGGAGACGUGCUAUUUUCACCCUUAACAUAUUUGAUAUGCAUAAUUGGGCCAACCCAAUGGGCCUACAAAUUGUUUACCAACUGGGCCACGAGCCCAAUAUCAAAGACCAUUAUCAUCGAGGUCCAAUCACCUUCAAGUAAGGUUUGGGCCCGACAAUCUCAACUAAGCUAUAAAUAAAGGUUUGAACUCAUUCUUUAAGGCACGUCCUAUUAAUUGAGCAAUACUACAACAUGUAUUCUCUGGACCAUUUUAUACUAUCAGCACGUCUGACUUGAGCGUCGGAGGGGUUUCCGCCGGAUCAACCCCCGGCCUAGUUUACGUGUUCUGUGAUCGCAGGUAUCUCAAGGCCAUCAAGCUCGUGAGCCAGUGAUCCACUAUGCUCUUCUAUCUCAUCCUACUUCAACUAUCUAAGGUGAUCUAACUUUAGCAUCAUCAUUUUGGCGCCGUUUGUGGGAAGGCAAACACAAUCACGUAGCGCACAUGAUGGCCUUGAGACAUCUGCUCAGGGGAGUGUGACACUGCUAACAACCUCCCACCUCGUGGAGGCUCUGACUUGCCACUUCCUCCUCCCCAUGGUCGGGAUCCACACGAGACCCUCCUCGUGAUGUCCCACUAGAUCCUCAACAGGAUCCCCUUCUUCCCGCCCCUCGAUCGGUUCAGAGAACCGAGGAGGCCAUUCAAUGCAGCAAGGGUUAUCGACUCCCUGGGGGUUUACAGUGCCCCCAAAACAUUUCGCUCGCCAAGGGUUAUCGACUCCCUGGGGGUUUACAGUGCCCCCAAAACAUUUCGCUCGCCAAGGGUUAUCGACUCCCUGGGGGUUUACAGUGUCCCCAAAACAUUUCGCUCGCCAAGGGUUAUUGACUCCCUGGGGGUUUACAGUGCCCCCAAAAUAUUUCGCUCGCCAAGGAUUUUUGACUCCCUGGGGGCUUACAUCUGCCCCCAAAACAUUUCGCUCGCCAAGGGUUAUCGACUCCCUGGGGGUUUAUAGUGCCCCCAAAACAUUUCGCUCGCCAAGGGUUAUCGACUCCCUGGGGGCUUACAUCUGCCCCCAAAAUAUUUCGUUCGCCAAGGGUUAUCGACUCCCUGGGGGUUUACAAUGCCCCCAAAAAGUUUCGUUCGCCAUGGGUUAUCGACUCCAUGGGAACCUACCUCCACCCCCCCCCCCCCUCCAACGGUUAAGAUAACCGAAGAGGACCUUCAGCAUAUGAUCACCGAACCUUCAACAAGAUCAACUUCUACUUGUUCCUCUAACGGUUCAGAUAACCGAUAAGGACCUUCAGCGUACGACCGCGAAAGUUUCAACUCGUGUUGCCACUGAAACAAUGGCACAACCGUGCGCAUCCACCUCAGACCAUAGGUCUCGAACGCCUCAUUCUAAAGUAGAGGGCUAUCCCAUCCCAAGGUUGGCAUUACCCUUACCUUUCAACCCCAAGUGGGUGCACAUCCCAUCUCAAGACACGAGUAUAAUCACCAUACUCAAAAAAAUAGAACAUCCCCAAAGGGGUGAACAUCAACCACCUAAAAAGAAAAAGAAGAAGAAAAAAAAAAAAAAAGAUGAAACAAGAAGAAGAAAAAAGAUGAAACAAGAAGAAGAAAAAAGAAGAAGAAAAAAGAAGAAGAAAAAAAAGGAAGAAGAAAAAGAAGAAGAAAAAAAAAAAAGAAGAAAAAACAAGAAGAAGAUGAAGAAAAAAGAAACAAGAAAAAGAAGAACAAGAAGAAAAAAGAAACAAGAAAAAAAAGAUGAAGAAAAAAAAAAGAGAAAAGAAAUCAAAAAGUAAGCCAAGCCAAGCCGCGUGCAACCUUCUCCUCGGGGCGCGCGCGUGUAAAAAAAAAAAAAAAAAAAAAAAAAAAAAAAAAAAAAAAGAAGGGGCGCGCGUGGCGAACACGCGACUCACGCGCGGGUCAGCCAAAAAAAAAAAGAGGCGCGCGUGUAGCGUACACGCGCCUGAUGCGUGCGCGUGCACAGCACGCGCCCGUCAGCAGAAAUAUAUAUAUAUUUUUUUAAAGAGUAGCGCGUGUUCACGCGUGCGCGCCUUCCCAAGGCCACCUUGGACCGCGCGCUCCCAUGAAAUCGCGCGCAACUUUUACUACUCUCCACCAAAUUGCGCGUAGAUUUUGACUCGCUUCACCAAAUCGCACGAGAAUUCCAACGCGCUUCACCAUAUUGCGCGAGCUCUCCAACAUCUCGCCAAUUCGCGCGCAGUCUCAAACGGAUACAAAAAAAAUAUUUUUUUCUCCACGCCACGUCUACAAUUAACGGCACAACGAUCUAUUCUCGACACGAUCCGGUACUCUUUUCAACUUGAUUCCGACAUCGAAUCGAGAGUGGGGGGCUUGCGAGACAACUCCCACGAGGAGACAACUCGCUCGGUUCUACACAACCCAUAGCGAGACAACUCCCACGAGGAGCCAACUCGCUCGGUCCUACAACCCAUUUGCGAGAUAACUCCCACGAGGAGAUAACUCGCUCGGUACUACCAACCCGCAACGAGACAACUCCCACGAGGAGACAACUCGCUCGGUACUGCCAACCCGCAGUGAGAUAACUCCCACGAGGAGCCAACUCGCUCGAUCCUACAAACCCGUUGCGAGGCAACUCCCACGAGGAUCCAACUCCCUCGGAUCUACAAUACCACAGCGAGACAACUCCCACGAGGAGACAACUCGCUCGGUACUGCCAACUCGCAGUGAGACAACUCCCACAGGAAGCCAACUCACUCGGAACUACAACCCGUAGUGAGACAACUCCCACGAGGAGAUAACUCGCUCGGUCAUAUAACCCGUUGCGAGGCAACUCCCACGAGGAGCCAACUCCCUCGGAUCUAAGAAACCACAGCGAGAUAACUCCCACGAGGAGAUCACUCGCUCCGUCCUACAACCCGCAGCGAGACAACUCCCACGAGGAGCCAACUCGCUCGGAACUACGAACCCGCAGCGAGACAACUCCCACGAGGAGCCAACUCGCUCGGUACCACAACCCGCAGCGAGACAACUCCCACGAGGAGCCAACUCGCUCGAUCCUACAAACCCGUUGCGAGGAAAAUCCCACGAGGAGCCAACUCCCUCGGAUCUUCAAUACCACAGCGAGAUAACUCCCACGAGGAGCCAACUCGCUCGGCACUACAAAUCCGUUGCAAGGCAACUCCCACGUGCAGCCACCUCGCUCGAUAAUAAGACUCGCUGGGAGACAACUCCCACGAGGAGACAAAUCGCUCAGAACGACCUCAAUCCGCACGCUCCUUAGUAGCGCGUCAUCCAAUGCUCCUACAACUUGGCUGCGAGACAACUCCCAUGAGGAGACAACUCGCCCGAAAUUCACUAUAUAAUCGCAAGCUCAAGUUAGCACGAUUACAACCCUAGAAACACUUAGAGAUAUUAUGGGAAUCUAUAUAGCCUGGCCAGCUUGAUUACUCAAAUUUAUCUACUUGUUUUCGGUGGGUCAUUCAUUAAAACGUGGCCACGGUCAAAACAAACUUACGACCUACGAGGUCUAACAAGGGGCACGAUCCCCGUAAAAAAUCUUGAGAGCCUGAUCCUCUCCUCAAGUACAUCACGCACAAGGCUAUAUGUAAACACAUACAAGCAACGCGUCACAACAUUGACAAUGUCGAUAAAUAACAACUCCCACGAGGAGAAUACUCGCUCUGUGCUACUACAUUAUCGCGAGACAACUCCCACGAGGAGAUAACUCGAUCAAUUCUAUUACCCCGCGACGAGAAAACUCCCACGAGGAGAUAACUUGAUCCGAGCUACUACAUCGUCGCGGAACAACACCGACGACUCAAGUAACUUACAUUACGACAACUUGGUUGCGCUACGCGCCAACGCGCCUUCACGCCCCUCCGACACACGCUCCAAUGCGUUUUCGCACACCAUUAGGCCAUACGCCAACGAUCGACUUCUACAAUUUUUACUCUCAACACGAUCUGACACCCAUUUCAACAUGGCCCCCACAUCGAAUCGAGAGUGGGGCGCUUAAUGAUAUGCAUAAUUGGGCCAACCCAAUGGGCCUACAAAUUGUUUACCUACUGGGCCACGAGCCCAAUAACAAAGACCAUUAUCACCGAGGUCCAAUCACCUUCAAGUAAGGUUUGGGCCCGACAAUCUCAACUAAGCUAUAAAUAAAGGUUUGAACUCAUUCUUUAAGGCACGUCCUAUUAAUUGAGCAAUACUACAACAUGUAUUCUCUGGACCAUUUUAUACUAUCAGCACGUCUGACUUGAGCGUCGGAGGGGUUUCCGCCGGAUCAACCCCCGGCCUAGUUUACGUGUUCUGUGAUUGUAGGUAUCUCAAGGCCAUCAAGCUCGUGAGCCAGUGAUCCACUCUGCUCUUCCAGUUCAUCCUACUUCAACUAUCUAAGGUGAUCUAACUUUAGCAUCAUCAAUAUCUUAUUUCACCACUAAAUUAAAUAUAUUUUCGAUUUUACCCAUGUUUUCUCUUUCACCUAUAUUAUGUACAAAUUCAUAAAUUGUCCACGACCAAACUAAUUAGAAUAUUCACAAAAGCCCCACCAUUUUCCAGUAGAAUAUUUACCGCAAAAUCCCAUCCUCUUCACCUUAGGUGCUUACGUAGAAAUAAAUUGAAUUUUUUUUUUUGGUAUUGCUGUGUUCGGUGAAAUAAUAAAAAAUGUGCUACAUUUUAUUCAACACAAUAUGUCCGGAAAUUUGUUCAAAUUGGACGAUUAUCAAAAUAUUGUUUUAGCAUUUAAUGGAAAUUGGUUUCAUUUCCAAAAAAAAAAAAAGAGAACUUAGAACAUAUGAGGACUAAGCGAAUAUAAUGGAAGGCUGUGGAUUGCAAAUUUAAAGGGUAUUCGUGAUAUUUUAUGAGAUAGAGGGAAAAUAGUUAUUUGCACAGACCCCUAUGUAAGUUGUAAUGGCUAAAAAAAAACAUGUUAAAACAAAGCAAUUAAGCCCAUAUGUUGCAUUUUAUUUAGUUCACUACCCCUAGUGGAAAUUAUAAAUAUGUUGACUAAACGGAAGUGACUAUACUAACCUUCAAUUAAUAACAUAAAAUUUGAAUUAAUAUAUAAAAGAGGCCAAAUGGAAUCUUUAUUAUAUAUAAAACUAAGAUACACUAUAAAAGUUAUCCACUUGAGGAUAUUGAGUCCACAUUAUUUUAUAAAUUUCAAAAUAACCCCACUUACCAUAUCCAUAUUAUUAAUGAAUUAAUUUCACAUGAUUGGUUUUUUAAAUUUUAUCUCUCCUACAUGUCAAAAUAGUGUCUUUUUUAUUGGUUAUUGAGUUUCCUUUUUCAAUCCAUUGCUUCGUAUUAAAAACAUGAAUAUAUAAAUGGACAUUCCACUUAAUUUGGGUUAAUCAAAUUUUAUACACAAUAUUAUAUUAAUUGCCAAGAAACCCCAAUUAUCAUAAUCAUCUAUAUUAUUAAUUAAUUAAUUUCACGUUAUUGGUUUUUCAAAUUGCAUCUCCCAUACAUGUCAAAAUAGUGUCUUUUGAUUGGUUAAUGUGUUUCUAUUUUUAUAAACAAUAUUUUGAUUAAAAAACGUAGGACUUAAAUGCAAUUUUUUUUAAUUUCACAAUUGAGCAAAUUUUUAAUUUCACAAUUGAGUAAAUUAUAAAACUAAGAUACACAAUCAAAUUUUUUAAAUUGAGGACAUUGAGUCCACAUUGUUUCAUUAUUUUCAAAAAAAAAAAAAAAAAACCCCAACUUCCAUAAACAACCACCUAAUUAUCUAUUUAUUAAAACAAAAAACAUGGUUACCUAAUUUGAAUUGCACACAUGGCCAAUUUGUGCAUUUAGUUGGUUGAUUUAUACCAUUUGGCAAACUAUCCAUAUAUACAAAAAAAAUAAUAAAAUCCAAAUUUCAUACGUGGACAAAUUAUGCAUUUUAAAUUGGAUGAUUGUUUUCAACUUUUAAUGUUAAUUGCACACAUGGACAAAUCGUGCAUUUUAAUUGGUUGAUUACAUAUUUAUAUUUAAUUUAUUACAUCUUAUUCGCAUAUCUAAUAUUAUGUUUUCUUAAUAAAUAUUUUAAUUAUUAAUCUAUUUUUAAUAGUUAUUUUGCAUAUCGUUAUUUUAUGGCAAAUAUUUACCAACCUAUUAACUAUAUAUUAAUAUAGAUAAAUUAAAAUAGUAUUUAAUAAUUCAUACAUGGUAAUGAAAUCAUCUAUUAUGAUAACUGUAAGAUCAAUUUGGAAAUGAUUAUUUGAUGAAUAUAAAUAUGAUAGGUAAUUGUAAAUAUGGAGGUAAAGAUGCAAUUAUAGUGGUAAUUAGAAAUUUCAUAAAAUUUGAAUUUAUUAACUAAUUAGUUUUCAAAUUUUGAAUAUAUUGACUGUCGACCAAUUAUACAUGUUAGUACUCAUCAUUGGUAUUAUGUUUGAAUAUUGAUUAAUUAAUUUCUAAAAGAGUAUUAGCUCUACAUUAAUUACAGUUAAACCUCUAUAAAUUAAUACAGUUGGGACCAUCAAAAUUUUAUGAAUUUAGCGAAAUAUUAACUUAUCGAUAAAUUAAUAAUUAAUAAUUUAUAUAUUAAUUAAUAACUUAUUAAUUUAUGAAAUUAAUUUUAUUAUUAUUUUCAAUAAAUACAUUUUUUUAAAAAUUACAUGUAUAUUAUUCAUUGUACCAUUAGUUUAAUGCAAUGUAAGCCCGUUUCACAAACGGAGGCUUUUAAAGCAACAAUGGUAUAGAACGAUUUAUGUUGAAGUAUGAGAAAACCGUACCGAAUGUUCUAACUAUGUUAAGAAAAGUGAGGGACGAGAUUGAUGGAAAUGGGAACUUCAACAAGAAACAAACAAGAAUUAAAUUAUAUUGUAUUAAGCCUUCAUAGAUCUAUAAAAUAUGUAUUGUUCCAUGUAAUUUAAAAAUUAUUUUUAUGCAUUAUUAAUUUAUAUAUUAUAUGGGGCUUCUUAAAAUUUUCAAAUGUGUAUCUUAUAAAUUUAGCGAAUUAUUAAUUUAGUACGUUGUUCCCGAGUUGGGACCGGGAAAAUUUAUUAUUUAAGCGAGGUUAUUAAUUUAUCGGGUAUUAAUUUAUCGAGGUUCUACUGUACUUUAUUUAUUUCCUUUAUUACAUUACUGAACCAGCUAUAAAUUCACCAUUCAACACAUUCACCAUCUUCAUCUUUCUCACACAAUUUUUUUUUUCUAUUGCAAUUUAAUCUAAUUCGAAUUAUUCAAUUUAAUUUCGUAUUGAGUAUUGACUUAUUGUUUCGUAAUCUUUUGCCGUAAUUCUUUCGAUUUAUCGAUUAUCGUUUCAUUCGUUAUUAUUAGUGUUUCAGAGAUAUGGCGAAGAUCAUGUUUCAAAAAGAAUUGCAUUGGCAUCACAUACCUACAAUUGUUGAAACAUCUUAGCCUUUUUUAUACUAUAUGUUUAAGUUAUUGAUUUAUUUUGUAUUUGAUUUCUUUAUUCAAUUGUAUUUGCAACAUUUGAGUAAUUCUUUCAUUGAAGCUACGGGAUUGUAUCAACCUUUGCUAUGAGUGUAGAACUCAUGUUCAAGUUGUUAUAUAUGUUCGCGAAAAAUACAUGGGGAAAUAAGGUUUCAAUUGACCGAGAGUUGGAGAGAGUUUUGUAGAUCAAACAACAUAGCGUGCGACAACAAGUACUCUUUUUAUCUGCAUCUAUAUUAUAUAUGAAACUAAGAUACACAAUCAAAUUUUUCCAAAUGAGGAGAUUGAGUCCAGAUUGUGUAAAUAAUUUCAAAAAACCCCACUUACCAUAAUCACCUAUAUAAUUAAUUAAUUGAUUUCACAUUAUUAGUUUUCAAAAUUUAUCUCUCCUACAAGUCAAAAUAUUGUCUUUUAUUGGUUAAAGAGUUUCCUUUUUUAAUCAAUUGUUUGAUAAUAAAUACGUCAAAACAUAAAUGCACAUAAUUCUUUUUUUGGUUAAUGAUAUUUUAUGCACAAUAUUUAUAUUAAUUGCAAAACAACCCCACUUACAAGAACCACCCAUAUUAUUAAUGAAAUAAUUUCAUAUUAUUUUUUCAAAUUUUAUCUCUCCUACAUGUCAAAAUAUUGUCUUUUUAUUGGUUAAUGAGUUUUCUUUUCACAAACAUUAUUUUGAUUAAAAAAACGUUGGAGCUAUAUGCAAUAUUUAUAAUUUCCCAAUUGAGUAAAUUUUAUGUACAAUAUGUAUAUUAAUUGCAAAAAACCCCACUUACAAUAAUCACCCAUAUUAUUAAUAAAAUAAUUUCACAGUACUGGUUUUCAAAUUUUAUCUCUCCUACAUGUCAAAAUAGAAUUUCACAGUAUUGGUUAAUGAGUUUCCUUUUUAUAAACAAUAUUUUGAUUAAAAAAAUCUAAGGACUUAAAUGCAAUUUUUUUUUUAUUUCUCAAUUGAGGAUUUUUUUUGCACAAUAUUGUAUUAAUUGCAAAAAAAAACCCCACUUACCAUAAUCACCCAUAUUAUUAAUGAAAUAAUUUCACAGUAUUGGUUUUCAAAAUUUAUCUCUCCUACAUAUCAAAAUAGUGUCUUUUUAUUGGUUAAUCGGUUUCCUUUUUUAGACAAUAUUUUGAAUAAAAAAACAUAGGACUUAAAUGCAAUUUUUAUAAUUUUCACAUAUUAUUAUAUUUAAAUUAAUUUAGAUGUAUCCGGAAAUUAUAUUAAUUUAAAUUAAUUACUUUACUUGUUACCUUUAUUACAUUCCUUAACUCUCCUAUAAAUUACCAUUCAACACAUUCACCUUCUUCAACUUGUCCACAUACAUUUUUUCUGUUUCGGAGAUAUGGAGAUGAUUUUUGAGAAAGAAUUGCAUUGGUAUCACCUACAUGCAAUGGUAUAUAUAUUUCAUUAUAGUCUCUUUUGUAGUAUAAUUUUUACUUUAUUGCUUUAUUUUGUAAUUGAUUUCUUCAUUCAAUUCUAUUUGCCGCAUUUGAGUAAUGCUUUUGUUGAAGCUUCUCGGUUGAUAGGAUUGUCUACUAUCAACCUUCGCUACGAUGAAGGCAAUCAUUUUCAAGUUGUUGUGUGUUCGCGACAAAAAAUAUGGAAAAAUGUAUGUGCUGUUGACUAAGGGUUGGACACAAUUUUGUUAUGCAAAUAACAUGGUUUGCGGCAACAAGUACUCUUUUUAUUUUAGCCAAUGGGAUGAUGUACUUGAGGUCUGGCUUGGCCCAGCCUUUUAAAUGUUAUGAUAUGUCUUUGUCACUCCUUAAAACUUUAUUAAUAAUAUGAGUUGUAUCGACUUUCAAAUAAUUUUGAUUUUUUUUAUUAUGUUAUCUAACAUUUAUACAUUAAACAAACAUAUGUAUUCAUAUAAAUCGAAUGCAUAUACUAGCCACGUGGAAAGAACAUUGUAUUCCAUUAACGUAAUUGUGCGCAUCCAUACGGAAACAAGUACCCAUAAGAUAAACCGAAUAAAUGUAUGGAAGGGAAAAACUAUUAUAAUAUAUUACAAAAGAGCCACAAAAUUGGGCCAAAAAAGGAAAUUUGAAAAAUAUCUAAAUAACUAAUCUUUACAUAGAUGUUAUAUAUCCGAUACAUAGAUGUGUAUUGCUUUUAUAAUUUGCGAAACUAAUGUUAUAUGCAUCUAAGCCCAUAUAAUGUUAAUAUUUAUCUUUAAAAACUAUGUAUUUACUAUCUUUAUUGUUUUAAUAAAAACCCCAUAAUCUAUGCAACAAUUAAAUGUAAAAUUGUAAAAUCCUGUACAUAAUUAUAUUUAAUUGUUAUUGUAAUAAUGUACAAUAAGCAAAUCGGAUAUAUACAAAUUUUCACAUGUACAAUAAUGUACAAAAUUAUAUAUUGUUUCCAUAUAAUAUAUGUAAAAUUUAUUAACCAUAUAUAAAAUACAUAUGGAUAUUUUAUAUAUCGGAUAUAUAUAUUUUCGUAUUGUAUGUAUGGAUAUUUAGUUUAUAUGUAUUUUCGCACAAUAUAUAUGUUGUUUCUUUAAUAUUAAUUAAUAAUGAUGUAAAAUUUUAGAAUUAUGUAUGGGAUCUAGAAUUAAUUCUAAUUAAGAAUAUAAAUCUAUUUAAAUCGACAUUUGUGCAAAUUGUUUAUAGAAAUUUGUUAACUGUAUUUCAUUACAUGGAAUAUGAAUAUUUGUUGCAAGACAAAAUUUCGUAAAUUAAUUUUUCUUCCAACAUGUUUCCAAAAUAUAAAAUAAAAUUAUUGCUAAUGUUAAAUCAAUAAAAUAUAUAUAUUAUUGCAACUAUGGGUGGGUGGGGGUUGUUUUUGCAUUAGUAUAAAAUUGUUGUGUAAAAAAAUUAAUUACAAAUUAUUGUUGUGGAUAUAUAUAUAUAUAUAUAUAUAUCCACAACAAUAAUUUGUAAUUAAUUUUUUUACACAACCAUUUUAUACUAAUGCAAAAACAACCCCCACCCACCCAUAGUUGCAAUUAUUGUAAAGAAACCGAUAAUACUUAUUUAAAUAUGGACUAUGCCCAUGAUGAUGAUUGUUAAUUAUUUUUUGCACAACACAAUUUAUUAAAAUAAUAAUAAAACUACCCCCAACAGAAUCCUGACAGCCGCAGUGUGGGAAUUUCAACUCCAAUGAGGGUUGGUUCCUUAUGGGCACCAGGUCCGGGUCCGCUACCUUAACGGGCCCUUGAGUUACCAUGAUUUACAUUCUUCCAUCAAUCCUUGUCGGGCCAAGGGAUGGGGGCCCUGGGGGCGAGGGAUUUCGCCUUUUGGUGCAAGUAUUUAUAGAAAAUUGCUUAAUUGUAUUUCAUAAUAUGGAAUAUGAAUAUUUAUUAACUAUAAUUUACUAUAAUUUAGGAACUAUUAACUACAAUUGUAUUCCAUUUACUAUAAUUUAGGAACUAUAAUUGUAUUUCAUUUAGUAUAAUUUAGGAACUAUUAAAACUCACCAUCUUGUAUAUACACGGUUCAUUUCAGUGUUAGUCUAAACUGCAGGACAAUAUUAUUCUCUCGAAACUUCAUCAUCCGGCCAUCGUUCUCUUUGUCUGAAUCGUGAGUAUAAUAGUAUUUGAGAAUAAUUGUUUAAUUUUUUUUUUCUUUUACAAUAUUCGAGUAUAGGAAUUAAUGUACUUUUUCAUAUAGAUAAUAUAUUGUAACUUAAUUCAUAUUAGGUAACAUAUAUAGUUCAAGAUUUGUAAUAGUAUAUUCAUCUUUUAUAAUGCGACUUAACUAACUAACAAACUUUUGAUUACGCGUAUUAAAAAUUUAUAGAUGUCAAGGUAAAUAGAUCUCAUUAGAAACUUGGAAGGCGAAAAAAAAUCAUGGAAUCUCAAAAUCCGUGUUUUGCGAAUUUGGAAACAACCAAAUUAUUUUAAAAGAUCUUCAAGACAUGGAGAUGAUCUUCAUUGAUGAACAUGUGAUAAUUUUAUUUUUACACGUCAAAUUUGAUUUGUUAGCAAACCAUAUUUUCACAGUGGAAGCUUCCAUUAAGUAUACAUUGUUAUACAGAUAUAAAUCAAAGAUCAGAGAGAACAGAUGUUAUGUAAUGUCAAACAUAUCCGCUUUUUUUAGUGUUAAGACCUACAAGCAUGCAUUGAAUGACUAUUAUGUCACUUUUGAAAAUACAUCUACGGUGAGAGAAUUUGAUGUUUCAUCCAUUCCAAUGUAUUCAUUUAAGUUCACAUCUUCCAGCAAGCGUCGAACAAUAAUGAGUAUACGAUAGGUAUUAGUUAUUUAUAUGAUUUCUUUUUCUUUCUAUUUAGAAUUUAUUUAUAAAGUGUUUUCUUACAAUGUUUUAAUAUUGAUUACAUAUAUUAUUGGUUCGCUUUUGUCGAUAGGUUCAUUGGCUCACCUAGCCGAUGGAACCAAACAGAACAUUCCAUUUGAACUUGAAGAUAUUGAGUAAUUUGAAACUCACUGAAAUAUAUUUUUUAGAUUUUAAAUGUUUUACAUGUUUUUUUCAUAUCCAUCAUCGUUUUCUUUGACAUGCAAGUGAUUGUUUGCUGGGGGGGAAAGUUUGCUGACUACAUACUUCAACGAAUUCAUGAUAUUAGUGUAGGGCCGUAUAUUGUUGUAACACAAUUUUCAACGACUAAGAUUAAGAAUGGUAUUAAUUUGUUCAAUAUUUCUCUUAUGUAUUUGGUUUAAUGAAUGUGAAGGACAUUUAUUACAUUUCAUGACUAUUCUUAUGUUUUCUUAGGGGAAGUCCAGGUAUCCAACCAUUGGCAUUCAUCGCGUGUGCUUAUGAAUGAGGAUAUUCCUGCAAUUAACGAAUUCAAAUCGAGGUUAUAAUUUUAUCUUUAAAUAAAUUAAUUACUUUGUUUUACAUUUAUUUCGUUCAUUACGAUUUAUUAGCAUGUAGUUUUUCUUUUAGUUUCAUUCGUAGUAAACCAAAUAGUGGUCAAGUGAUAAGUCAGAUGUCGUCGCAGUCUUCUUACUCGAUGGAAGAUGAUUUCAUACGUAAGACUGUUAGAAAAAAAAUGGACGAAUUGAGUGACACAAAUGAGGUAAUAACUAUGUAUGUGCUACAUUAUUUAUUCGUACAUUUUCAAAAAAAUACAAAUAGGAACCAUUUAUCAAAUCUGAUUAUAACUAUAUUUAACUAACUAUUGUUUAUUUUCACAUUAUAGGAUUUCCAACUCUCUUCAUCACCUUCACAUGCAAUCCUCAAUGGCCUGAAAUACAAAGGGUGUUGAAAGCUACAAAUCUUAGGCCGGGGGAUCAGCCAAAAAUUCUAUGUCGUGUGUUCAAGAUGAAGCUCGAUAGUAUGAUGACAUAAAUUAAGAAAUGGCGUAUAUUCGAACGUAUUAGAGCAUGUAAGUAUUUAAUUAGAUCUCAAUUUAUAAUUAUACAUUUACUACAUUCAUAAUAAUUAGAAAUAUGGAUCAUGUGUGAGUUUUAAUAUUUAUUUAUUCAUUAACUGAAUUAAUGCAUAUUGUUAAAUAUCAUUUGUUUACAGUUCCUCUCCAGAUGUGUGCACUAUUGAAUUUCAGAAACGAGGUCUACCGCAUGCACAUAUUUUGUUGUGGUUGCAUAAUGAUGACAAGCCCAAGACCCCAGAAGAAAUUGACAAGAUUAUAUAUGUUGAAAUUCCUGACGAAGAAACCGACAGAAAGAUGUACCAGUUGGUGGAGAAGUAUAUGAUACAUGGACCGUGCAGUCAGGCGAAUUUGAAAUCUCCCUGUAUGAAGGAUUAGUUUGCACGAAGCGAUUUCCAAAGCCAUUCGUGGAGCGAACUGAGUCAGAUGCAGAUGGUUAUACUGUGUACAGGAGAAGGGAAGAUGGAAAAACGGUAAUGAAGAAGAAGACUACUCUUGACAAUCGGUUUGUAGUUUCCUACAAUUGGGCAUUAUUGAGUAAAUACAGAUCUCACAUUAAUAUAGAGCUAUGCAAUCAAAACAUGUCAAUCAAAUACCUGUUUAAAUACGUCAAUAAGUGUCAUGAUCGAGUUACGGUGGCAUUUUACGAAAGACGCAAUACAGAUGGCAGUGCUGAGAUUCGUCACGAGAUAAAGAUGUACUAUGACUGCAGAUAUAUUUCGGCAUGUGAGGCAAUGUGGAGGUUGUUUAAUUUUGAUAUUCAUUACAGAGACCCAUCUGUAAUUAGGCUAAGCUUUUAUCUCCCAUAUCAUCAGGCGCUUGUCUUGAAUGAAAACAAGUCAUUACAAAGUGUUAUGGAUAGGCCAUCUACCAAGCAAACGAUGUUCUUAGCGUGGUUUGAGGCGAACAAGAGUUAUCCACAUGCCAGGGACUUGAGGUACGGAUAUUUUCCACAGCAGCUUGUGUAUAAGGAGAAUUCUUGCACUUGGGCGCCAAGAAAAAAAUGAUUUUCUAUUGGUAGGAUUGCAAAUGUUGCCCCUGCAAAUGGGGAAGACUAUUACCGUAGGUUGCUACUUAACAUUCAGAGGGUUGCACGUGUUACGAGGACAUCAGAAAAGUUGCUGACUACGUCUACCCUACGUUCAGGGAUGUGUGUUAUGUGUUGGGUUUGUUAGACGACGACAAAGAAUACAUAGAUGCGAUAAGACAAGUGAAUGUUUGGGCAUCUGGUGAUUAUAUAAGGGGGUUAUUUGUGGUUAUGCUGCUUUCCAAUAGCUUAAGCCGGCCCGAACAUGUUUGGCAAAGUUGUUGGUCGGGUUUGGCGGAGGGUAUUGCUUACAAACAACAUCGGCUUCAUAAUAAUUCAGGUAUGGCAAUUUGUAUAGAAUAUUAUUCAAUUAGAUUUUAAAUGUUACUCGUUUUUUUAAUAGUCUCUUUAAGUUUUGAACUAAAUGCAUAUAAUGCAUCAAAUUUUUGUGCAGAUUUAUCUAUAUCGGAUGAAAGCUUGAUGAAUUAUACUCUCACUAAAAUAGAGAAAAUAUUGCAAAGUAAUGGUAAAAGUCUACGUAAUUACGCGCCCAUGCCAUUUCCAAUCGAAUUCGCGGUGGAGGACACAAUAAACAUAUUGGUCUUAGAUGAACUGGAUUACGACGGUUUGAAUUGGGUAAAGAACUUCAAUGGUGUCUUGCCCCAACUACAGACGAGCAAACAAAGGUUUGUGAUGUAUUCAUAGAUGUUGUAUCCAAUGACCGUGGUGGAAUGUUCUUUCUAUAUGAUCAUGGUGGAACGGGAAAGACAUUUUUCUGAAAAACUCUUUCGGCUGCAGUCCGUUCCAAGGGAGAGAUUGUAAUUAAUGUUGCAUCGAGUGGUAUAGCAUCGCUAUUACUCCUCGGUGGAAGAACAACUCAUUCUCGAUUUGGACUUCCCAUAAAUGUACACGAACCUUCCACCUGCAGCAUAACGCAACAAAGUCGAGAGGUGGAGUUGAUAAUUAGGGCUAAGCUUAUUAUGUGUAACGAGGCUCCUAUGAUGCAUAUGAACUGUUUUGAAGCGCUUGACAAGACAAUGAAGUCAAUAUUACAGGUAGACAAACCGUUUGGAGGUAAGAUGGUUGUUCUUGGAGGAGAUUUUAGGCAAAUUUUACCAGUUGUACUCAAAGCAUCAAGGCAGGACAUAGUACAUGCUACAGUAAACUCCUCUCCCUUGUGGCAUUUAUGUCGUGUCAUGAAGUUGACUAAGAACAUGAGAUUGCAGUCAUGUUCUUCUCCAUCUAAUGUGGACGAGGUAAUAGAAUUUGGGGACUGGAUACUAAAGUGGGGAUGUUAGGGAACAAAAUGAUGAUGAAGCUUCGCUAGAGAUUCCCGAGGACAUGUUGAUUGGUGAUUCAGAAGAUCCAUUCAGAGACCUACUGAACUUCGUCUAUCCCGAUUUGUUGAGUAGCAUGUAUGAUCCAGAUUAUUUUCAAGGGAGGACAAUUCUUGCCCCAACUAAUGAAUGCGUCAAGUCUGUGAACGAUCACUUAAUGUCUCUUCUUCUAAGUGAGGAGAAGGUGUACCUGAGCUCAGAUAGUAUGUGUAGGGACGAGCAAACAACGGAGGAUAAUGCAAAAAUCUAUUCGACUGAAUUUCUCAACACAAUAAGAUGCUCGGGGGUUCCUUCUCAUGAAUUCAAGUCCAAGGUCGUGCACCAGUUAUGCUAAUAAGAAAUAUCGAUCAAGCAGAAAAUUAUGCAACGGGACCAGACUUCAAAUUAUUAUAAUCGUCAUUCACGUUCUACAUUGUAAACUUAUUUCCGGUAAAAAUAUCGGUGACAUUGUGUUCAUUCCUCGGAUGACUUGAAUACCAUCUAACUCCGGACUGUCAAUUAAAUUUCAGAGAAGACAGUUUCCGUUGAUUGUUUCUUUUGCAAUGACGAUCAACAAAAGCCAAUCCCAAACUCUUUCUCAUGUUGGUUUGUAUCUUCCUCGGCCCGUCUUCAGCCAUGGUCAACUAUAUGUUGCACUGUCCAAAGUUAAGAGCAGAGGUGGCAUUAAGAUAUUCAUCAAGUGGGAUUCGGACGAACUCACCGAUGUUACUAGAAAUGACGUCUACAAGGAAGUAUUUCAUCGAAUUUGAAGGCUGAAAAUAUUUUCAUAUUUAUGUGUUCUUCAUGUAACAUGUCUUGGUUUUUAUUUUUUUUAACACCUUACUCUUUGGCAGGUCUAUCUUUCCAAUAUGUUUUCCCCCGUGCAAUGUUAUUUUCAGUCAUGUCCCUAGGAUGCUUAGUGCAAAUCCUAUUAUCUUUAAGAUUUAUGUUUGUCGAUAUUCUAAUAUUUAAUAUUAUUCUUAUAUUGUAACUAUGAAGAACAUGAUACUUAUAACAUAUUUUUAAUAUUGUUGGUCGAUGGCGUUUUGUACUUUAAUUUAUCAGUUUCACAGACAUGUAUUUCCAGUUGAAAAUACGUCGCCCCAAAAAUAUGCCGCCCCGUGCAUCGCACGGGUGAAUACUAGUUUUACUAAACCUCUUAAACUUAAAUUAGGGGACUGAGUUGUAAAUUAAGCGAACAUAAAAUCGAAUUGGAUUUAAAUAUAAUUAAUCCAAAACUCUGGAUCAAAUUGCAAUUUUUUUUAAAAUUAAAUAAAGGAAUAAAAACACAUUUUUUAUGGACAAAAAACAACGAAAAAAGAAAAGAAAAAAGAAAAAAUUGCGUCUUCCCCAAAAUUCUUCUUUCUCCACUGAAAUUGCAAUGGCCACCGGCAAUUACCUCGUUCAAGUCGCCGCCUCCAAACAGAGAGAAAGAACAUGUCUUCCCCAAAAUUCUUCUUUCUCAUUGAAAUCACCACCACCACCAAACUCUCAACACCACCUCCGACAAUCACAUCUUUACGUCGCCGCCGCCGGCGCUCCUUCCUUCCACCACCCGUCUCCUCCGCUCUUCUCGUCCCCUCCACCGCUAACUUCUUCUUGCCAAUUCCACACCAGCCGAUUCUUCUCUUGAAAAUUCUUGAAUCUUAGCAAGCGUAGAAAAAUUACUGAACUCCAGCUAAAACUCUAAUCGCCACCACCGCCAAAGCCCUAAUCGCCGCCAUCGUCGGAGAAGACAAUAAAAAGCAGAAAAACAGCGGGGAGGUUUGGAUCCGGAAGCAUCAGGUAGCUUGCAUAAUGGUGGGUUACUAUCGGGAGAAGCCAGAGAAGACGCCAAAAACUGCAAAAAAUAGUUUUUUUCGUGGAUUUUUUUCUCUAAAAGCUCUGUUUUCGAUGGUUUUCGAUGGGGGCAUAUAUUUUCUUGGAUUUUCAUGUGGGUUGUUGAUGGGUUUUGCCCAGGAAUAAUAAUGAGCUUGAAUCUUAGCUCCAAAUUGAACCGAAUUUCGUUAGAGAAAUCGUUGGAGUGGUGGGGCGAAACGGCUGAGGAUAUGGAGGGAGGUGAGGCCGGAGAGAGUGUUCGCCGGAAGGAGAGCGGCAGUCAGCUAUGUUCAAUGUACUUUUGGGAAAUUGCAAAUCAACUCCUGACUUAAGGAAGAAGAGGGCUUUUCUGAAACUUCAAGGGACUAAAUUGAAAAAAAAUAAAAAAAAUAUUUGGGUCUUAUUUUUGAAAUUUAUAAUGUAAAGGGUAUUUGAGUCUUUUCAAGUAAAAAAAAAACCAAACCCCAGUCGCAUAUUUUGCGAGUGUAUCACACGUCCAGUUCAUAGGGGCCUUAAUGUCGUUGACUAUGUAACACAAGAGGGUAUGUGCUAAUUGUUUUAACACAGGGGCUUUUGCAGCCAUUAGACAUUACACAGGGGAGCCGGAUGCUAAAACCUCUUAUGAGAUAACUUGGACGCGGAAAUAUAUUGGGAUUUCGGCCCAAAUGUUUUUUGUUCAUCUUUGGCCCAAUACCAGCAUGCAACCAGCCCAUCUUGGAGCGAGCCUACACUUGAAAAGCCCACAUGGAGAACUGGUCUUGACCCACUGAAGAAGUCAUAACGUGAAUAAAUUUCUCUCCCUACCAAAAACUGAUCUCCGCCUCUGCUUUAAAUUUCUCUCCCUACCAAAAACUGAUCUCCGCCUCUGCUUUUUUCGUCCUCUGUUCUAGCCUGAUUUCAUCGCCGGAAAUUUGUGACACCAACAUCUCGACUCCUUUGUUUUCGCUGAAAUCAGUUCUUGGAGGCUAUUAAAUGAGCUAAUUGCAAAUACCACCCCUGUGUUAUCUCUAAUUGCCAGAUAACCCCCUGUGAAAAAAAAACUCACCAACACCCCCCUGUGUUAACAAAGUCAAUGCAUUGACACCCCUGGACGCAAAUCGUGUCACUCACUCGCGGGUUGUGCGAUUUUUAAUGGUAUUUUUAGGGUGAAAUGUCAUAAAUACCCCUUUAUAAAAUAAAAAAUAAUCUUGUUGGCUAAAUUAUGAAUAACCUAAAUUUAUAGGACCAAAUUGUAAUUUCAAGAAUUGAAAAAUAUAAUUAAUGCAGAAAAAUAUUAUAAAAAAAACAAAAAAAAAAAAAGAAGAAGACAGAACAUUGUUUUCUUCCCCCGUUCCCCACCCCCAAACCCCAACCUUAACAAGAGAAGAAAAGUUCAGCAAAACCACCCCAUAUUCUACAAUUCCCAUUGACCCGAAUCCGUACAACCCGAGGCUAAUUAAGCCCCAAUUACAGCAAUGGGUAUCUAGAAUCUCCAAGCAAUUUCUCUCAACAGCGACGACUUUGACAACGGCCGAACUUGCUAGGUCAAAAUUGCGUCUUUUGGUUCUUUUCUCUUCUCUUGCUCUUUCUUAUCGCCACCACCGCCGUCAAAAUAAGAGAUUGGGGGAAGGUUUGAGGCUCAUGUAAAGUAAUUUGUUGGUGGAAACUAAAGUUUCAAUAAAUUAAAAUUUAUUGGUGGGCGGCGGAUCUAGAGAAGAUGGUGGUGUUGGUGAAGGAGAGGUGAGAUGGUGGUGAGCUGCGGCGGAGCCGAAGCGGCAACCCGGUGGAGAUAUGGUGGAUGAGUGCUGAGAAUUGGGUGGGAGGGUGGGGAAGAAGAACGUUUUUUUUUUUGUUUUUUCUUUUCUUUUCAUUAUUUAAUAUAUAAUGUAAAACUAAAAAAAAAAUAGAAAACACAUUAAAACUUUUAAUGUUAUAAUAUAUAUUUUAUUCUCGUUUAAAUAUAUUUUUUAUUUUUAGUAUUUACAAAAUAAAAAACUAUAUAAUAUCUAUAAAAUUAUAAUACUAUAUUUUAUUAAUUGCUGAAAAAAUCAUAAGGGCAUUUUUGUCACUUUACCUUCAGUCAAAGCCUAAAAUCACAAAGGGUGCAGUGUGCUUCAAAAAUGUUAACACAAGGGGGUGUUGGUGAGUUUUUUUUUUCACAAGGGGGUAUUUGCCAAUUCGAGAUAACACAGGGGUAGUAUUUUCAAUAAGCUCGCUAUUAAAUAGACCUCUUCUUCGUGAGAGAAAUGAACCAAGAAAACUCAACAUGCUUUUCACCUUGUUCCAAAAUCUCUUCUUCGUGACUGAUUCGACUCUUUGUGAGUGUUUGGGUGUUGGGUUGAGUGUUGUGUGCAUUUGAUUUAUUCAAACUCUUGGUUCUUUGUGAGUUGGUGUUUCUCUGGUUUUUUUCGGGUUUCGAGAUCAGAGAGUGCUUUGGGUUAUUCGGCUGGUUCCGGUGGGCGUGUGGCUGCUACUGGUGGGUCUUGGACGAGGACUAAUGGGAAACAGAGAUUGAGCCGGGAACCUCAAUCGCCGCCGGAGCUUCAUUUUCCUACGAAUAUGUGUGAUUCGCCGUGGUUCAUUUUUCUAUUAUUUGUGUUAUUUGUUUCCUACUUUUUGCAAUGAUUCUGGUUUUUGUAGUCUUUAUAAUUGUUAUGGUUUUCUGCUGCUGUUAGGAUUAAAUAAUAAAUUCUAUUACAAAAAUUCACUAAAACUUAUCAAUAAACAAAAAUCACUCAGUAAUUCACCAAUAAAAAUCCUAUUAGUGAGGCAGGUCUUACCCAGGUUCACUAAGUCUAACUAAUAAAAAAGGCUUACGGACUUCUUCCAUAGCCCGAAUGGGAUUCAAUAGUGUGGUUGCUGCUCUUGACGCGGGUGCACAUGUCGUCUUCGGCAAACGAUGGCGGUAGAGGAGGAGGAAGGGCCCAAACGACUUGUAUCGGAUGAUUUCCACCUGUUUUGUUUUGGGGGUUGGUAAGGGAGGCGCCGGUUAGAAAAAAAAAUUGAACGUUUAACAGCUUCUGUGAAAUGUUAAUUUUCCAUAUUCGGACUUUAACAUCUUCGAAAAUGCGAAAGAACGUGGACUUCAUGUUCUGUCCGAAAAUGAACUUUUUCCUCCUAUUUGAUUUUGUAACUUCUUGAUUUUUAGCAGACUAUCUUCUUCUCCAUCCCGUUUACCAACGUGUGUAGAAAACACAAUUUACUAAAUCUCACAAAGAUAUUGUCUUAAGAUUGUUGUUCCGGUAUAUAAAACGGGUAGUGAAUUUAGUAAAAUGGUCGAACAAAUUAGUGAAACUACGAAAAGAUUAGCCGAGGCGAGAAAAACUCUUUCCUUAAGACAAUAUUGCCCCGCUACGGUGCUUACGCUUAUUUGGCAACGGUCUCCCAAGAUACAACGGCUAGCUCGGCAUAGGGCACUCAAAAUCCCGAGUACAACGAACGUUACUUUGUGUCUCAAACUCUCGAAUCGAAUACGGAAGAAAAUAUUCUACGAAGAAUAUUUCCGCGCUAAAGAAAGAAGAAUUCCAUAGAACAAAAUUAUAGAAUUGAAUUGAUUUUUUAUGUUGUUAUUAAAUCAAACAUGUGGAGUUUCUAUUUAUAAGUUUCCAAUGGUUGUGACUUGUGAUUAAUGAACACAACCCUUAGGAAAUUAAACAAGUGAAGAGGUGUGGCCACACCUCUUCAUAUUGUCACACAUAUUUGAUCAAAUAGGUGCCUAAAAACCUUUUGUAAUUUCCAUUCAAAAAUAAUUUUAUUUUUGGGAUAAUUAGCAAGAACCCCCUCAUCUAGGAAAAUGAAUUAAGAAAACACCCCCUCCCAAAAAUAAUUAGAGAAUACCCCCUUACCUAAUAUCCUACCCAAAUAUUAUUUAAUAAUUCUCAAACCACCCUUAUUAAUAUUAAAUCUAUUCAAUACCCUAACCCAUUGCCUUUCUCCCUUCUUUUUUUUCUCGUCUUCUCUCUUCUGCCGUUCUCUCUUCUUCUUUUCUCGUCUUCUCUCUUCUCGUCUUCUCUCUUCUUUCUUCUCUUCUCGACUGAAAUUUGGAAGAAAAACAAGACAUCGACCGAUGGAGGUGGUGGCGGUGGAGAGUUUUUGUCACCGCCUCCCGCCGCCGCAUGAAGGGUGGUGAUGGAUCUGUAGUUCGCGGCGGUGGUUUCCACCGACGACGUUAAAGAUGAUGACUGGCCACGCUGUGGGUUGACGGCCAUGAGGACGAGGCAUGAGAAAAUCACUGUUGCAAUUGAUGUUGGUGAAGGUAUUGUUUUUUUUGUUUUUUUUUUUUAUAUUAUUUUUUUAUGUUGGUUUUGAAUUUUGACAAAUAACUUGAAUCGUUUCUGGUUUUUUUUUUUUGAACAUUGAAAUGUUAAUUUGUGUUUUUUUUCUAUGAAUUAUUUAAUUUAUUUAUUUUAUUCUUGUUAGGGAUUGGUUGAAUAGUGUAUUGUGGCAGCGCUAUGGUGACGAUGGGGAGUCAAAUUUAGGGUUUUUUUGUGGAUGGGGCGGAUAACGGCGCGUGUAGAGAAUUUCGCGCAGGCUGAAACCUUAAUCGACUAUGUACAUAUUCAUAGUCGAUUAAGCUAAUCGACUAUGUUCUGGUAGUCGAUUAAGGUUGAUCGACUCCAAUUUUUUUUAGUUUUUUUGGAUUUUUCGUUUAUUGAUUCCAAUUGUAUAAACCAAUUAUAAUGUUUGUAUAUUUUUUGUUUUUGUAAUAUAUAGGUGAUUUUGCAUUUUUUCGCAGUUGUGAUUUUGUUAUUUUUAGUAGCAGAUUUUUAAUCGACUAUGCUCUGGUAUCGAUUAAGGUUGAUCGACUCCAAUCUUUUUUUUUUUUUUUUUUUUUUUUUUUUUUUUUUUUGUUUAUUGAUUCCAAUUGUAUAAAUCAAUUAUAAUGUUCGUAUAUUUUUGUUUUUUGUAAAAUAUAGUUGAUUUUGCAUUUUUUUGCAGUUUUGAUUUGUUAUUUUUAGUACCAGACUUUUGAUAGACUAUACUUCAUCAUAGUUGAUUAAUAUAAUGAUAUAGAAAAAAAAUUAAAAAACAAAAAAAAACAAAAAAUAGAGAAUUUCCUUAAUCGACAAUGAAGCAUAGUCGAUUAAGGCUAAUCGACUAUGCUCCAUAGUCGAUUAAAAAAAUGGAAAAAAAAAAUCGCUGAGCGCGUGACCCAGUGAUGAGGUGGCGUGCGGGGGUAAAACUGGAAAACAUAAUGGCUAAAAAUGGGUUUGGGUUUUUCUCAAAUGGACUGAAAUAUUUUGGACCUCCCUCCAUUAAAAAAAGUAAUGAGGGGGUUUGCUCAAAGAGACCCUUUAUUUUUAUUAAUAAAAUUUCCAAAAGUAUUCACAAUGGACAAAGUCAAUUCCAAUAUUAAACAACAUACAUAUGGACAAAUUAGUUCCUUAAUUCUAUUAUUAUUUUUAAUAUUUUAAUUUCUUUUGAAUCACAACAUGAUUAUCACAGUAAACAAAUUUUAACCAAGCAAUAACUUUUCAGAAAAAAACAAAAACAAAAAAAGAACGCACUUGCAGAAUAAAAAACACGACGAAAACAUGAUAUACGUCUAAACAACACAUAUUAAUUAUAAAGAAAUUAGAAAAUACAAUACUGAAUUUCAAUUAACAAAGAAAAACCUAUUUUAGCCAUUUGUAUUUAAAAAAAAGUCGCUUAUGGAGAAUUUAGACUAAUUGCGCAAAAAUAUUCAAAAAAUACUCUGUACUGGUUGAUUGAGAUGUUGGAUCUCGAUAAUCCAUCGAAACUGAUAUUUCUGGGACUGAAAUCCACGGCUGAAAUCUCGACAUAGUGCAUCGAACAACAGCAACCCUUAGCACGCCGCGAGAGAUAUCUGUAGCACGAAGCGGUGGUUACAAAUCUGGCGAUAGCCGGUGACCCAUUAGAAGAGAGAAAAGAAGAGGUUGUUGAUCCGGACCGUUUUGCCUCAAAGGAUAAAGGAGUAAUGAGCCAUUUGAAGUAAAUCCCAAGAGUCUUCAAAUGGGAAAGCCCAAGAGCCCGAGGGUAGGAAAGUCCAAUAGCAUAAUAGGCCAAGGCAAGCGAGGUAAGUGAAGAAAGCUGCAUGCGAGGGAAGAUUGGGCCAGACGAGGUAACGCUGUACCUCGGUGGCAAUGUACUUCCUCAGCAUUGUGAAGACCGUACGGGGACAACUAUGAGGAGAAAUGGACGUGUGGCAGACUUACACUGGUAGAUGAACAGUAAAAAAAAACCAAUAGUAGCUGGCCACGUGGCAUAGUAGGUAGUAGGAGGGUAACGGUUUGGGCCUGGAAAAUGAAAUGCAUGGCCCAAAUAAGGCUCAUGCUUGUAGUAGUAUUUAUACAAGGUCACUUUUUAGGUUAACGGCCUCCAGUUUUUAGAUAAAAAAACCAGCAUAGCAUAUUGUACUUGUCUUCCAAGAAAAAGAACUUUGUUUAUUGAACAUUGUUUCAUUUAUAUAUUAUCCAUUAACUUAUUAUCUCUUGAUUGAUUGAGAUCCAUUUUAGGGUUGUUUUCUCAAAAGACAAGGUAUGAUUGUUCUAGCCCACCAAAGGUUCCAACAAUGAUCCUUCUACUCCAUAUAUUCUUAUAAAAUCCAAUAUUAUUGUAUGUGGCCAAUAUGGUCCCAUCAGCUGUGAUUUUUUAUUUUUGAGUAAGAGGGGUGAUUAUUGUACGCAACAAAAUUAGGGUUGAAAUGAUUAAAUGUUAUAAUGCCAAAACCUAAUCUUUUAUAAUUAAGGGAUAACUUUCUAUAGGCCCUCCAUUAUUAGAUUAUAUUGGUUAAAAUCCAAGUUAUAAGUCCAAUAUUGUAUAACCCCCUACUACUUUUUAUGGCUGAUUUGCCCUUUAGCAAAAAUAGGAAAAUUGUAUUCUUAAAUUUAUAUAUUCCUAAAUUCCUCCACCAAAAUCGGUUUUAGCAAAAAUCAUGCUGCAAAACGUCAAUUCCAAAUCCUCCGCAAAUUGCAUUUUUCCAUCGUUUAUCUCUCGAAAAACAAAACUUCUCACUGCCACCUUGUCUUCAAUGCAAUCUCUGUAACUCUAUCAUUGUUCUCGAGAACGACGGAAUCUCUAAAACUUUUGCACAUCGCCAACAAAAAAAACACAUUCUAGAGGAUAGUGCAAAAUUGAAACGUAUAGGUAAUUUGUUGUUGUGGUUUUUUAAACGUUUUUAAUGGCGAUUCAUUGACAUAAUGCAAUGAGUUUUUUUUAUAUCAUAAGUGAAGACGCAGAUUUAGAGGUUUUAACCCAGGUAAUUUUUUUUUUAUUUUUUUUUUUUUGACAUUAUUUUUUGUUUGGAUUUUACUGUUUGAGUUACAAUAUUUUGCCGAUUGUUUUGCGUUUUUGUUACAUCUUUUCAGAUAUCGAUUGCAAUUUUUCGUUUUGUCACCUUUUGUGCUUUUCAGGUCUUGGGAGUAUUUUGUUGAAUUUGUCUUUUUCCUCCUAAAUUCGUUGAUUGUUUGUUUGGGGUUUCCUGGUUUGUGUUACAUUAUUUUGCGUUAUCAUUUUGCUGUUUUGUGAUACAUUUUUUUUUCAUGUUAUUUUCUGGUGUCGAUUGCAACAUAUAUUCGAUUUCGUUGCUUUUUUUGUUUGCAAGUUAUUGUUUCUGGCUUAGUGUAUUUUGCACUUUGUUGUUUAUUUUGCAUUUUGCAUGCAUAUAUGAUUGUAAUUUUUUAUAUUGUAUAUUUCAUUUGAACUUUGGUAUAUUCUUAGUUAUCUUCUGAAUUUUAAAUUGCAUUUUAUUGUUUCAAAAUUACAAUUUCCAUUUGAUGUUACCAAAUGCACCUUGAAUAUUGAUAUGUGCAAUUGAUGUACAUGGAUUAUAGGUACAAACAUGGUUGUGCAAUAUUUUUUUUUUCAAUUAAACAGUUGAUUUGACGAAGGGGAAGAUGAAAGUAGAUGAAUCAUUCGCCUCUUCAAAAAGAGGAAAGCAACGAUGAAUCAAGCCGAAUCUAUUUGCAUGGUAGCAUGAUAUUAUGUUUCGACAUUGCCUCAGCGAAAACCAUAUUUGGUUGGUUGUGGAUUUUUGUCUUGUAUAUUGCAAGGCAGUUGUGCAUGCAAAAACCAUUAAUGAGAAAAAUUGUAGCAAAUGGGAUUAUCGAACUUGAAAAACUUUUAAUUAUCAAUUGUUGAACGACGAGGAUACCGUUGAGUUUAAUUAGAAUUUUUUUAUGACAUUUACUUAUGUUUAGCAUAACUUUAUUUUUUAGGGAAAAUGAGGGAUAACCCCCUCAAUACACAAAAUAAUAGAGUCCAGACCCAUUUUAAUAUUCUCCAUUUGUAAAAAAAUCUAAAAUUAACAUUAUGAAUUGUGAGACCCCCUCACGUGUUUAUUAUUCCAAUUUUGUCCUUUCUUCUCCCACUCUUUCUCUCUCUUCCCCUCUCUCUUCUCAACCGUCCCUUUCUUUCUCUCACCUCCCCCUCUUUUUAUAUCUUUUACGUAUCUUUUUAAUUCUUCUUUUCUCUCAUUGACUGUCUCUCUCCCCCUCUCUCUCUCUUCCCUGAUACAUUGACUUUCUCUCUCCCCCUCUCUCUCUCUUCCCUGAUACAUUCACUUUCUCUCUCCCCCUCUCUCUCUUCCCUUCUAUUUCUCUUUUCUUUACCAAAAUUACGGAUCCAUAGCCGCCGCAUCUUCAUGGCUACCAUUGGUUCACCCGGUCUAGUAACAAUGAAACGUUCAGAUAUGUUUUCUGACGAAGCAGCAUCCGCCGCCGCUCUUUCUUAAUGUACCCUCCACCGCUGAUUUUCUAAAUCAAAAAUCUCCGCCGCUACAGUCUUGCAUUAUUGUCUCGGAGCCUCAUGCUCAUUUCAUUGGUUCAGAUCUAAUUUUUCAAGGAAACUUAAGGCUAGUGAUAGUUGUAUUGUGGAAAUUCCUUUUUUAGGGGAAUUGAAACUACACGGAAGGUAUCCAUAUGCUUCAGACUAUUGAGAUCAUUUGAGACUUUGGGCGUAAUUGUGAAAGUGUUGGAAUUACUUACCGACGGAUAAAUAAUUUAACGGUGGUGAAUUUUGGUCAUAAAAUUAUGGUACAUAAAUGAUCAUUGACUACUAUAAAUUAGUAGUUAAUUAUCACAAUUUAUAGCUAACUAUUAAAAUUUCAUAGUUAACUUUCACUAUUUUGUAGUUGACUAACACAAUUUUAUAGCAAACUAAUAGAAUAUUAUAGUUGAGAUCGUUUUGGGACUUUGGGCGUAAUUGUGAAAGUGUUGGAAUUACUUGUCGAUGGUUGAAUAAUUUGAGGGUGGUGAGUUUUGGUCUUAAAAUUAUGGUAUAUAAAUGAUUAUUGACUACUAUAAUUUAGUAGUUAACUAUCACAAUUUAUAGCUAACUAUUAAAAUUGCGUAGUUAACUUUCACUAUUUUGUAGUUGACCGACACAAUUUUAUAGCAAACCAGUAGAAUAUUAUAGUUGACUACUAAAGUCAGUAGUUAAAUUCAUUAAUUUAGUUGUUCACUAUUUUGUAGAUCUUUCCAAACAAAAAAAAAGGUAAAAUUAAAAAAUGAUCGAAAUGUAAUUAAAAUGAUUAAAAUAAUUAAAGAAGAGAGAGAGAGAGAUAGAUAGAGAGAGAGAGAGAGAGAGCACAAGUUGGUUGACCGAUCCUAUUUAAAGGGAGGGGGGUCUAGUUCAAAAGAAAAAUGUAGGGAUAGUAUUGGGAUACAUAAAGUGGAGGGGGUUGCACCAUAUUAAAAAAAUGCUUGGUACCUAGUUCUAAUAAUUUUGCUAAUGUGGGGGUUAUGCCUCAUUAACCCUAUUUUUUAUUUGUGGAAUUUUAAUUUUGUUGGAUUUUGAUAUGAACUAUUUUCUAAUAUAUUCCAAAUUUAUGCAGUUAUUUUGUGUAUUGGUAUAUGCUUGCCAAUUCAUAAUUUCUUAUAAAUUCAGUAAAUUGUUAAAAAAACAGGCAAAAUGUCACAGGGCUUUAGUCGACUUUUGUUAUGCUAUACACUGCUGCAACAAAAUUGUCACAGGGAUUUAGUCUUCAUUAAUAUUCUGCUAUUAUCGUUUGCAUUUUGCUAUUGUAAUUUAUAUGCAAACUGCAAAAAGAAAAGGCAAAGUUCAAAUAAUAGAAUACCAACUGCAAAAACAACUAUAUGGCAUCAAAAGUAUAGAUAAUAUUAUACCAGAAACUUACAUCAUAUAUAACAACAAUAUCUAAAAAUAUAUUCGAGCAACAAACACAUCGUAUAUGCAAACUGCAAACACAAAAAUCAAAAGUGCAAACAAUACCAUGCCAACAAUUCAAAAAAAAUAUAUAACAUCAUAGUGUAAAAUAUAGUCUCCUAGAAACAGCAAAACGCAAAACAAAAAUCAACUAACAUCGAAAAAUGUGCAAAUCGUAUAUGCAAACUUGAUGUUUGUUGUUCGAUGUUUGUAUUAUGAAUGAAUGUUUAAAGUUUGAUAUUUACAGAACAGAGAUUAACAAAAACAAUCAAGUAUGAAAUAAACAACAUAAAAUAAUAAAUGAAAGCAGCAAAAGUGUAAAAAUAUAUUCGAGCAAAAAACACAUAACAUACGUAAACUGCAAGAAUAAAAAAACAAAGUGCAAAUAGUACCAUACUAACAAAAAAUAUAUAUAUAUAUAUAUAUAUAUAUAUAUAUAUAUAUAUAUAUAUAUAUAUAUAUAUAUAUAUAAGAACAAAGUGUAAAAAACUAGGAAGCAAACAACAAACACAGUUUCGUCUCAAGGUAAUCAGAUUUAGUCGAUGUCCUUGAGCCUCUAGAUACGGAACUGCUCUAGCGAUGAAAGAAUGAAUGGAUUUAGUGGCGGAGAACGAGCGAGCCAUUUUGUACUCUUUUUGGUUUGCACGAAAAAAGAAAACUAAAUGAAAUUUUCUCCCGAUGAGCAAAUAAAGAGAAAAUAUGUGAAUCGGGGUCAAUCACAUUCUCUAUGGUCAUCUUCUCCUUCAAUCUUGCACCAUCAACCCUACAAAAAUCACAAAAUUUAAAUUAAUGCCUGCCAACUGAAUCAAAAGUCUGAAUUCAAAUUUAAUCUCGAAAUCUAAACCAGAGAUUUUGCGAAACAGAAUAAGAGUGUUGUCAAAAAUCAAUCAAUCACAUUUCAUAAAAUCCCUUCCAGGAUGAGUUUUUUUCCAACCACAUUCGUAACUCUCUUCCAAAUCUUAUAACGUGAUAUAUGAGAUUUAUUCUCACAAUUUACGUAAUUAAAGACUUUCAUAAAUAAAUAAUUUAUUGCUCAAGGGUGUUUUUUGUCCAUAUGCAUAGUGAUUUUAUUUCAUUUAAUUGAUUUUUUUAGUCAAAUGGUCUACAACUGUAUUAAUCUAAUAGAUUGGACUCCUACCUAUAUAAGUUUGAAAUAAGGGGUUAUAGCUAAUCAUCUCUAUAAUUAAUACAAGAAGUUUUUGAUUUAUAUGGGAUAAUUAGCAAGAACCCCCUCAUCUAGGAAAAUGAGUUAAGGAAACACCCCCCCUCCUAAAAAUAAUUAGAGAAAACUCCUAGCUUAUAUUCUACCCAAGUGAUAUUUUUAUAAUUCCAAAACUACCCUUAAUUGUCUACUAUACUCUUUCAAACCCUAAUCUUAUUUUCUCUUCUCUCCCGUCUCUUCUUCUCCCGUCUAUUCUCUGUUUUUUUCUCUCUAUUAUACUUUUCUCUCUCAAUUCUUUAGAUUAUUCUCUCUUGAUCGGAAGAUGAAGAACCAACCAGAACAAUGUUGGUCGAAAACCUACACGCAAGUGCACGUAUCGUACAAGUAAUAUAGUGGACAAAAAGUCCGGAUAUCGAACCCACAGGGAAUAUUUAAUUAUCUAAUCCUAGACGCUAAAUCCUACCAAUUAUUAUCAAGCCCACCCUACACAGUCGAAUUUUUAGAGAGAAUUAACUAAAUUAAAUUAAAAGGCAAAUUAAAACGACAAAGCAAGAAAGCAAAUUAAACACGAAGAUUUAUCAGAGUAAACGAGCCUAGGAUUUUAUUCUUCCCCCUAUGUGAUUAUUACUCCCCCAAUUCCUUCAAUUAUGCAAGCAAUUAACCCGGAUUAUUAACCUGAGAUGCUAAACUAAUCAUAACCCGCUUCCGCGUGUAUUACGAUUCUAAUACUCUAGAUUCAAUUACUAUAUUCCUAUGCAAUUAAUUCUAGAACACAGCAUUAAGCACAAAUCUCAAUAAUGGCUACCUAAGAGAUUAACUAUAUUCCUAUGUUAAUACCACCAAGGCUCUUCUACCACAGUUCUAAUUAUUAACCCGAUCUUCCGAUUCAUGCGAUUAACAAUAACAUAAAAGCGCAUAAAGUGGCCAGUUUCAUGAACUUAAUAAAACAAGAAGAAGAAAUAAUCCGGAAUUAAAACUUGCAUAAAAUCAUAGAAUUGGGUUCAUAAAUCCCACAUAGGGUUCCAAAUAAAAUCCUAGAAUUAAGAAAAUUAGCUACUCAUGAUUAAAGGAAAAACACAAAUAAAAUAAGUCACAAACGAUAAAUCUAUGCUUAGAGUCUUCAAAUUCUUCGUCUUCGUUAUUGCUUUGUUGCUCUCCAAAUUGCGUAUAAAGAUGGAUUUCCAAUUGUGUGCUUGGAUUGGUCUUAUAUAGGGUGAAGAACUUGGGGAAGAAGGCAGUUUCCUUGUGCAAUUAAAAUCCCUUUACUGCGCGGUUUCGGGGUCUCGGACGGCCGUCCCAUAAUUUGAACUAAAACUCGGACGGCCGUCCGAGCUUUAAAUCUCCAGAUUUCGUUUUUUUCACUUUUGGCCCAUAUUUUCUCCAAAUUUGCAGUUUUGACCCCAUAUUUUUCCAAUUCUUCAAUUUGUACCUAAAAUACAAUAAAUCAACUUUUUAAGCACCAAUUAUCAUUAAAACACACCAAAAGCUCAAAUAAAGAGAUACGAUAAAGUGUAAAAAUAUACACUUAACACACCCCCAAACUUGAACUUUUGCUUGUCCUCAAGCAAAAUCUAUCAAUAAGCAAAUAACUUAACUAUAACAUCUCAUCACAUAGAUCAAUGAUCAACUUCACGUUUUCAGAACUUGUAAUUAUAAUGACAAUUCUUAGGCACUGAAAGCUCAAAAUUCAACAACACUUAGUCACUCACCAUUACCAAAAACCACAAUUCAUACAAUUGCUUCAAGCAUCCAAUAUUUGCAAAUUAAAGAUAGAAAGAAUUUAUACUUACAUGCAUAUGCUUGACUCCAAAUACUCACCAAAUUAUUCUACUCUACUAAUAUCGAACAUUAAGCUAUUGGGAUCAUUGGGGCUUUGUGGCUUUCAAUUGUUAGGCUCUUUGGUUCGAGGUAGGAAAUAUGGGUAUAUGUGGCUAUUCUUCUUGAAUUUAGGUGAUUACGCCAAAAUUUGAAAGAUAGGCGUUUGAAACAAUAAAUUCACCUCUACGGACUUUAGUAAACUCGAUUCUCAAAAGUUCAAAAGUCUCCACUUUUGCUUUUGAGGCAAUGGAUCGAGUUUUCAAAAAUAAUUCAACAACUAGUCCUUAUUUCUCCCUUCUAGUCUCUUCUUCUUCUCUUUUUCUCUUUUUUUUUUUUAUAUAUAUAUAUAUAUAGAAGCAUAGAUAUUUGUCUUCUUUUUAUUUCUUUUUUUUUUUUUUUUUUUUUUCUCGAAGAAGAAGAAGGACCUUAUAAAAUUUUUCGACCGAACUCCAAGGGGUAAUUUUUCAAGAAUCUCCACCUAUUCUACCUUACACAUUGGCUAAAAGAAAGAACACCUUUUCUCCGAGGCUCAAAUCAAGGUUCUAAGGAAUUUCGAUAAAAAGGUCGGCUUGAAAGGCUCAAACGGUUCAAAGAAGGCCCAAAUCAUAUCCCAAAUCACUUACUAUUCAAUACUUCGUAUCAUAAAUUUCCUAAGGUGAGUCUUAAAACUGAACAUAGCAUGAUUUAGCACAAAUUAAUUCCAAAUUUAAAAUACAAAACAUUCAACAAAAGCAAUGCACAAAAUGUGAUUCAUAGCAAUAAUUCGCUUCUAAGUCCCGUUGAAUCGAAAGCUAAACAAACAUCAAAUCCUUAUCACAUAAAACAAGCAAUUUCAUCAUCAAACAUUGAUCAUCUCUCAUCAUCAUAAAUCAUCGAUGCAUUCGACUCAAGCAAUAUUUUUUUUUUUUUUCAAAGCAAAUAAUAAAAAACGGGAAUAAAUAAAACGAUAACUAAAACAAAAGCAUGCAACUAACAAAGAGAAAAAAAAAAAAGUAAAACAUAAAUAGGGCGCACAUAAAAGAAAACAAUAGUUAACCACCCCCAAACUUAAAAUUCACAUUGCCCUCAAUGUGAUUCGCCCGGAGUUUAAGGAUAGAAAACACCUGUUUAAGCGUCGGGACCAUCGUCGGGUUGCUCACCAACUCCACCUUGCGCAUGAGCGUCACCAUCUUCUUCAUCAUCGGAAAGCUCGGGUACCGGCGCAAAUCAACAACAAACCACCUUGAUUACAUAUUAUAUGUGUGUAGUUGGUAAAUUUUCGGUGAAAUUUGUCAAAGAAAAGGGAAAAUUUUGAAAAAGGAAGGCUAGGGUUCGAAGUGGGGGAGAGAGAGGAUUUGAAAUUAUGGAAAUUGUUUUUUUUUUUUUUUAUUUUUUUUUUUUUUUUCGCACGGCCGUACGAAAUUUAGGUGAAAUAUCCGCACGGCCGUGCCCUUUCUCAAAAUUGGGCAGUAGCCUCUUCAAGUUUCGCACGGCCGUGCGAGAUUUAAGGGCAAAAUCCGCACGGCCGUGCCCUUUUGCGUUUUUGGGCAGUAGCCCCUUGAAUUUUCGGACGGCCGUGUGAAAUUUAAGGGCAAAAUCCGCACGGCCGUCCCAUUUCCGGAUUUUGUACAGUAGCCUCCCGAAAUCUCACACGGCCGUGUGAGAUUCCUCCCUUUUUCUUGCACGGCCGUGUGAAUAAUUGCAUUUAGGUCCCUGCAAAAUAAAAACUUCUUAUUAGUGCCCCUGAAACUUUUUUUUUUUUUCUUUUUUUUUUUUGUUUUUUUUCAGAAAAAUAAAAUAAAAACAAACUAAAAAUUAACAUAAAAUAAUAAAAAACGAAAGCUCGGGUUGCCUCCCGAGAAGCGCUAAGUUUACAGUCUUCAGCCGGACUUUGUCUCUUUAUUUUUUUAAGCAAAGGUGACCAAGGCCACUUGACGUUCGCCACCAUCUCCCCAAUAGUGUUUGAGUCGAUUUCCAUUCACUUUGAAUACUCGUUCCGAUUCACGGUCCUUGAUUUCUAUAGCUCCAUGUGGAAAGACUUGUUGAACGAUGAACGGCCCCGACCAUCUUGAUUUAAGCUUUCCCGGGAAUAACCUAAGCCGUGAAUUGAACAAGAGAACUUCUUGCCCUUUUUGAAAUUGACGGUGCAAGAUGUUGUUGUCAUGCCACCUUUUGACUUUGCCUUUGUACAACCAAUUGCUCUCGUACGCUUGCUCUCGUAAUUCGUCCAACUCAUUGAGUUGCAAUAACCUUCUUUCCUUGCAUUCUUUGUAAUCGAAAUUCAUCUUUUUUAGCGCCCAAUAAGAACAAUGCUCCAACUCCAACGGUAAGUGGCAUGCUUUACCGAACACCGCACGGUAAGGGGUCAUUCCCAAUGGCGUUUUAAAAGCUGUGCGAUAUGCCCAUAGUGCAUCAUCGAGUUUUUUCGACCAAUCCUUUCUUGUUGGGCCUACCACUUUUUCCAAGAUAUUCUUGAUUUCUCGGUUCGUAACUUCGGCUUGCCCAUUCGUUUGUGGAUGAUACGCGAGUGCAACCUUGUGUUUUACACCAUAUAUGCCCAUCAAGUUGUCAAAUUGCUUAUUCACGAAAUGCGAUCCACCAUCACUGAUAAUUGCCCGUGGUGCUCCAAACCUAGUGAAAAUCUGUUUCUUCAAGAAAGCACACACUACAGAUGCAUCAUUAGUAGGGGCGGCUAUUGCCUCUACCCACUUAGUAACGUAAUCGACAGCCACUAAGAUGUAUUGGUUAUUGAAUGAAGGGACAAAAGGUCCCAUAAAGUCAAUACCCCAAACAUCAAAAGGCUCGACUUCGAUCAUCGUGUUCAAUGGGAGUUCAUGGCGCGCCGAAAUAUUGCCCGUGCGUUGGCACCGAUCACAAGUAAUAGCAAAUUUAUACGAAUCUUUAAAAAGAGUGGGCCAAAAAAAACCUGAUUGAAGAACCUUACGUGCUGUUCUUUCGCCCCCAUAAUGUCCUCCAUAAUCCGAACCAUGGCAGUGAAAGAGUAUGUCUUGCUGCUCAUGUUCCGGGACACAUCUUCGCACCAACAAAUCACUGCAUUGUCUAAAAAGAAAAGGCUUUUCCCAAAAAUAAAAUUUUACAUCAUGCAAAAAUUUCCUCUUUUGAUGAUAAUUGAGAUUCGGUGGAAGUACUUGACUAACCAAAUAAUUUACAUAAUCGGCAAACCAAGGUACCUUAUUAUCAAAAGCAAGCAACUGUUCAUCAGGAAAAUUUUCAUUAAUGCAAAUUCUAUCGCUUUCGUCUACAUCUUUCUCAAGUCGAGAUAGAUGAUCGGCUAUUUGAUUUUCACUACCCUUUCGAUCACGAAUUUCAAUAUCAAAUUCUUGCAACAUUAAAAUCCACCUAAUGAGUCUAGGUUUUGCAUCCUUUUUAGUAAACAAAUAUUUGAGGGCAGCGUGAUCAGUAAAAACAACAACUUUGGGUCCUAACAAGUAAGAGCGAAAUUUUUCGAAAGCAAAAACAACAGCUAAUAACUCUUUUUCCGUAGUGGUGUAAUUUAAUUGUGCAUCAUUAAGAGUUUUACUAGCAUAAUAAAUUGAUCGAAAAAUUUUCUCUUUCCUUUGACCUAAAACGGCGCCAACCGCAAAAUCACUAGCAUCGCACAUAAGCUCAAACGGUUCAUCCCAAUUCGGUACGCAAAUAAUAGGAGCGGAUACUAACCUUUGCUUAAGCUCGUUGAAAGCUUGAAGACACUCACCAUCAAAAUUGAAUUUUGUCUCCUUUUCGAGUAGGUUACAAAGGGGCUUGGCAACUUUUGAAAAAUCUUUGAUAAAACGCCGAUAAAAGCCCGCAUGUCCAAGAAAACUCCUAAUGCCUUUGACCGAAAUAGGUGGCGGAAGAUUUUCAAUUGUGGAGAUCUUUGCUUUGUCCACUUCCAAGCCUUCUCGCGAGAUUUUAUGCCCAAGCACAAUUCCUUCGUGCACCAUGAAGUGGCACUUCUCCCAAUUUAGCACCAAGUUGGUUUCUUCACACCUGCGCAAAACCUUAGCCAACAUGCAAAGACAAGUGUCAAAAGUAUCACCGAAAAUAGAGAAGUCAUCCAUAAAUACUUCUAAACCGUUCUCUACCAUAUCGGUGAAAAUAGCCAUCAUGCACCGCUGAAAAGUAGCAGGUGCAUUACAUAAACCAAAAGGCAUGCGUCUAAAUGCAAAAGUACCAUAAGGGCAUGUAAAUGUGGUUUUGUGUUGAUCAUCCGGUGCAAUGGCUAUUUGAUUAUAUCCCGAAUAUCCAUCUAAAAAACAAUAAAAUUCUUUACCUGCCAAUCUAUCAAGCAUUUGAUCAAUAAAAGGUAAAGGAAAGUGAUCCUUUUUAGUGGCUUUAUUUAAUUUCCUAUAGUCCAUGCAAAUUCGCCAACCCGUUGUUGUUCUAGAUGGAAUUAAUUCAUUAUUUGCAUUACGGAUAACUGUCAUACCUCCUUUCUUAGGAACACAUUGAACGGGGCUUACCCAUGCGCUAUAAGAAAUCGGAUAAAUGAUACCUGCGUCGAGCCACUUGAGAAUUUCCUUCUUGACUACCUCUUUCAUAAUGGGGUUGAGACGCCUUUGGUGUUCUACUGACGGAUGUUGUUGAUCAUCCAAGAUGAUUUUGUGCAUACACAAUGAAGGGCUAAUUCCCUUGAUAUCCGCAAUUUUCCAUCCAAGUGCCGUCUUGUGUUCCCGCAGUACCUCCAAUAGCCUUUGUUCCUGCAAAGUAGAUAGAGAUUGUGAGAUAAUUACCGGCAAAGUAUCAUUCUUACCGAGGUAGGCAUAUUUGAGGUGUGCGGGCAAUUCUUUCAUCUCAAGCUGUGGUGGUUCCUCCAAUGAUGUUUUGAAUGCCUUGGGGGUGGUGAGGGUGGCCAAAUCCAAACUUUCAAACUUUUGCCGAGCGAGAAAAUCGCCGGAAUCUAACCAACAAAUUUGCUCCUCCACUCUUUCAUCUCCACAAUCGUUACCUACAACCAAAGAUGCUUCCAAAGAAUCCAAGUGUAACGAAUCAAAAUUUUCAAAAGAACAAGAAUCCACUACAUCGAUAGAAAAACAUUCAUUAGAGUUGUGUGGACGCUUAAUUGCAUUAAAAACGUUAAAUUUAAUAGUUUGGUCAUGCACCGUCAUGGUGAGAUCCCCACUAGCACAAUCAAUAACAGUACGUGAAGUAGCUAAAAACGGCCUUCCCAAAAUAAUUGGGAUUUCUCUAUCUUCAUCCAUAUCAAGAAUCACAAAAUCAGCAGGAAGAAUAAAUUCGUCAACCUUCACUAAGACAUCUUCUAAAACCCCCUUUGGGUAGACUAGCGACCUAUCGGCUAAUUGGAGUGUUAUAGCCGUUGGUUCAAUUUCACCCAACCCAAGACUCUUAUAUGUCGAAAAAGGCAUAAGGUUGAUGCUAGCCCCUAAAUCAAUGAGUGAUCGAAAAAAUUUAUCUCCUAUUGUGCAAGGGAUAGUAAACUUACCUGGGUCGCCGAGUUUUUGAGGAAGAGGUCUCGUAAGGAUUGCACUACACUGUUCGGUGAGUUGAAUCAUCUCGUUUCCUUGCAAUUUUCGUCCCUUUGUUACGAGUUCUUUGACAAACUUCACCCACUUCGGCAUUUGUUGGAGUGCUUCGAUGAGAGGGAUAUUGAUACGGAUUUCCUUCAUCUUGUCAACAAAGCUUUGGUAUUCAGCAUUUAACUUCGGUGGUUGGAACCUUUGUGGGUAUGGGAUGGGAGGAGCCGGUGUAACCUUCGCCCUUGAAGUUUCGCCUUGAACGUUUGUGUCCUUUUCCGCCGCCUCGGUCGCCUUUGUUUUUUCAUUAUUUUUCUCCUUUCUAGGGGCUUCUUCCAAUUGGCGUCCGUUACGUAGGCUCACCGUUUGUACUUGCUCGUUUUGCCUUUUUCUUGGGUCCUCCGUGUUUGAUGGCAAUGCCCCUUGCGGACGAUUCUCUUGAUUCAAAGAAAAUUGGGCGAAUUGAUUCUCCAAGUUCCGCAGCGAGGCUUGGGUGGCAGUCAUGAAUUGGGCCAAUAUCUCCUCCGUGCUUGAUUUUUGGGCCGGUGGAUUGUUGCCUUGAUAGCUUUGUUGAGGAGGGGCUUGAUUUUGGAAUUUACCUUGAGGUCUUUGAUACCCUUGGCCUUGUUGAUUUCCUCCAUAUUGCCCCUGUGAUCUCCACUCUUGAUUUUGGAAUUGGCGAGGCGCAUUGUUGACGUAGUUGAGCGACUCCGCAUCUUGUUGGCAUUGGAGCGUGUAGUGAUUUCCACCGCAAAUUUCACAACAUGGAGACUCAACGGCUUGGACUUGUUGUGGUGGACUUGCUUUGAUGUGCUGCAGAAGGAGUUGAUUUUGUUGAGCAAUUUGGGUCACUUGAGCUUGAAGAGCCGUAAUUGCAUCUAACUCCAACACUCCGGGAACUUUCUUGGAUCCACUAACCGUCCUCUCGCUUGACUUGGCAAACCGAUUUUGAGCAAUUUGGUCUAACAUGAUAAAUGCAUCCGGUAUCGAUUGACUCAUGAAAUUUCCUCCGGUUGAUGCAUCUAAGACGGUUCGUGCAUUCUCGUUGAUCCCUUGGUAGAAGAUGUGGAUUUGCCGCCAUUGUUCGACUCCAUGUGUUGGACACUGCCUCAAAAGAGUUUUAAAUCUCUCCCAUGCCUCGUAUAAUUGCUCGCCCUGCUCUUGGAAAAAAUUAUGAAUUUCUCGUCGAAUUCUCUCGUCCUUCUCGGGUGAGCUAUAAACCUUCAUGAAAAGGUUGAGGAGUUGAGGCCACGACGAGAUAGAGUGGGGAGCUUGGGACAUCAACCAUUGGCGAGCUCUUCCUUGUAGGGAGUGCUUGAAGAGAAUUAAUUGAAGCGCCUCUUGGGAAACGCCGUUUUGACGGUGGGAAUUACAGGUAUCUAGAAAAUUGACAAUGUGAAGAUGGGGAUCUUCACCCGCCAAUCCACUAAAUAGCCCGUUAUUUUGGAGCAUCGUCAAUAGGCCUUGCUUGAUCUCAAAAUUGUGCGCCUCAAUAGGUGGAUAUUGGAUGCUAGGGCGGAAUCCGUCAUGAGUCGGGAUUAUGUAAUCUUGAAGUGCCCGUGGCCUAGCUGCUGGCUGUAACGGAAGUUGAGGGGGUGGGUCUUGGACUUGGUUUCCAUUGGCAUUGAUUAAAUUACCCUCUGCGCGUAUGCGUUCUUCGUCCUCCAUUGUAUUGGUUGCGUGUUGACGUCUCCUAGCGGCUCGAAAAGUGCGUUCGAUUUCGGGAUCAAACGGUUCUCUAGCAAGAUCGAGUCUCCUAGGCAUACACCGUACCUAAAACUAAAAUAAAAUAAAACAAAAAUUAAUUGGGUGAAUCGUGAAAAUUGUUCAAAUAUAGAGCUAGAAUAAAAUAAAUAAUUAAAAUAUUCCCCGGCAACGGCGCCAAAAACUUGUUGGUCGAAAACCUACACGCAAGUGCACGUAUCGUACAAGUAAUAUAGUGGACAAAAAGUCCGGAUAUCGAACCCACAGGGAAUAUUUAAUUAUCUAAUCCUAGACGCUAAAUCCUACCAAUUAUUAUCAAGCCCACCCUACACAGUCGAAUUUUUAGAGAGAAUUAACUAAAUUAAAUUAAAAGGCAAAUUAAAACGACAAAGCAAGAAAGCAAAUUAAACACGAAGAUUUAUCAGAGUAAACGAGCCUAGGAUUUUAUUCUUCCCCCUAUGUGAUUAUUACUCCCCCAAUUCCUUCAAUUAUGCAAGCAAUUAACCCGGAUUAUUAACCUGAGAUGCUAAAAUAAUCAUAACCCGCUUCCGCGUGUAUUACGAUUCUAAUACUCUAGAUUCAAUUACUAUAUUCCUAUGCAAUUAAUUCUAGAACACAGCAUUAAGCACAAAUCUCAAUAAUGGCUACCUAAGAGAUUAACUAUAUUCCUAUGUUAAUACCACCAAGGCUCUUCUACCACAGUUCUAAUUAUUAACCCGAUCUUCCGAUUCAUGCGAUUAACAAUAACAUAAAAGCGCAUAAAGUGGCCAGUUUCAUGAACUUAAUAAAACAAGAAGAAGAAAUAAUCCGGAAUUAAAACUUGCAUAAAAUCAUAGAAUUGGGUUCAUAAAUCCCACAUAGGGUUCCAAAUAAAAUCCUAGAAUUAAGAAAAUUAGCUACUCAUGAUUAAAGGAAAAACACAAAUAAAAUAAGUCAUAAACGAUAAAUCUAUGCUUAGAGUCUUCGAAUUCUUCGUCUUCGUUAUUGCUUUGUUGCUCUCCAAAUUGCGUAUAAAGAUGGAUUUCCAAUUGUGUGCUUGGCUUGGUCUUAUAUAGGGUGAAGAACUUGGGGAAGAAGGCAGUUUCCUUGUGCAAUUAAAAUCCCUUUACUGCGCUGUUUCGGGGUCUCGGACGGCCGUCCCAUAAUUUGAACUAAAACUCGGACGGCCGUCCGAGCUUUAAAUCUCCAGAUUUCGUUUUUUUCACUUUUGGCCCAUAUUUUCUCCAAAUUUGCAGUUUUGACCCCAUACUUUUCCAAUUCUUCAAUUUGUACCUAAAAUACAAUAAAUCAACUUUUUAAGCACCAAUUAUCAUUAAAACACACCAAAAGCUCAAAUAAAGAGAUACGAUAAAGUGUAAAAAUAUACACUUAACAAACAACAAUGCUAAUUCCUGUUGAAGCCAUUGUCGUCGGUGCCGUCUCUGCCGCCGUCGCCGUCGGAGUCGGGGUCAGGGUUGUCGUCGGCAGAUCUUAACAAAAGCCAUAAAGAUGAUGAUGAUUUUGUUAGCGAUUCUGAGUUCGAAUGCCACGAUUGCCACAUCGUCGACGAAAAGAGGUAAAAUUGUGGAUUUGUCGCCGAAAUCGGAUUUUAAUGGGUGGUGGUUCUGCUUUGGUUGGUGGUGCGAGUUGUGAUUUUAUUUAUUUAUUUGUAAUAAAAAAACCGUCAUAAUAUCAAAGUAAGGUGGUGAUGGUGUGUUGUGACGGCGGUGCGGUGACGAUGGGGAGGCAAAUUUAGGGUUUUUUGGUGGAUUGGGCAGAUGAAGGCACGUGUAGAGAAUUUCGCGCAGGCUGAAACCUUAAUCGACUAUGUACAUGUUCAUAGUCGAUUAAGCUAAUCGACUAUGCUCUGGUAGUCUGGUAGUCGAUUAAGGUUCAUCGACUCCAAUUUUUUUUUUUUUUGGAAUUUUCGUUUAUUGCUUUCAAUUGUAUAAACCAUUUAUAAUGUUUGUAUAUUUUUUGUUUUUGUAAUAUAUAGUUGAUUUUGCAUUUUUUUCGCAGUUGUGAUUUGUUAUGUUUAGUAGCAAAUUCUUAAUCGACUAUGCUUCACAUCAUAGUCGAUUAAUAUGCUUCAUUGACUCCAAUUUUAAAUUUUUUUUUUGAAUUUUUGUUUAUUGAUUCCAAUUGUAUAAAUCAAUUACAAAGUUUGUUUUUGUAAAAUAUAGUUGAGUUUGCAGUUUUGUAGUUGUUAUUUGUUAUUUUUAGUAGUCGGUUCCUUGACUAUAGUUCAUCAUGGUCGAUUUAAUAUGUUUCAUAGUCGAUUAAUAUACCUGAUAGAAAAAAAAAGUUAAAAAAACGAAAAUAAUGAAAUAAUAAUAAAAUAAUAAAAUAAUAAUAAAUAAUUAAAUGUAAAAAAAAGGGUAAAUUACAAACACCCCCCCGAGGUAUGGUCAAAUUACAAAACCCCCCUCUUGUUUGGAUAAUUACAUCUACCCCCUCAACUAUGAUUUUUUCUUAGACCUCCACCUUUAUGGUGCCAAAUUCAACAUAGUCAUCUAGAUUCCGUGAAAUGUGCUCUAGUUUGUACUUUUCUUGUGUAAAAAAUACAGUUUCCGAUGCACCACAAACUGAUAUAUACAAGCUAAAAAUCACAUAUUAUGGUCAUCUUGCUUCAUAAUGUAGAGUUUGAAUAGGAUAGAACGGGUACAAAAGUGAUAAUAUUCCAUAUAAUCUCGAAGAUUCCACUAAAUUUGAUGAGUUGAGGGGGUGGUUGUAAUUAUCCAAACAAGAGGGGUGUUUUUGUAAUUUGGCCAUACCUCAGGGGGGUGUUUGUAAUUUACCCAAAAAAAAAAACAAAAGGAAAGACACGCUAAUGGGUCAUGGGCAGGAAUGGGUGGAUAGUGUGUAAGGUGAAGGGACAUAAUUGGAAAAAUGGGUGGCUAAAAUUAAAAGUAAGUUUUUCUCAAAUAGUGUAAAAUAGUUUGUGCCUUUCCUUAUUAAAAGAAGUAGGGGUAAUAUGCUAUAAGUCCCUCAAACGAAACCUAAUUUGAACUAAAUGACAAGUCGAAAUUUUUUUUUUAAUUAAAUCCUUAGUUUCAAAUAAUAUAUGAGCCACAUCCCUAAAUUUUUUUAAUCCCUAUCUUGCCCUUUUAACCUAAAUUCUCUAACUUAUAUAUUCACGUUUCUCCAAUUCUCAUUAAUUUCGUUCUUUUAAUUUUCUCCCACGUUCUCUCUCUCUCUCUCUCUCCAUCUCUCAAACGGUUCUGCACAUUGUCUUUUAGAAUUUUUUCUUCUCUCAUCUAUCUAUCUCUAUAUCUCUCUCUUGUUUUCAUGACUAGUAGCACAAUGAAGGGACAAUAAUAGACGAGGCGGCGGCGGGGUCUGUGGUGGUUUAGGCGGCGGCGGCAGGGGCUGUGGUUGUCGAGACAGGGGUGAGGGGUUGUGAUUAUUGAGGCGGCGGCGGGCUAUGCUGCUAUGGUGGUCGAGGCAGCGGGGGUUGUGCCGUUGUGGUGGUCGAGGCGGGGUGAGGGGUUGUGAUUGUCGAGGCGACGACGGCGGGCUAUGCUGCUAUGGUGGUCGAGGCGGCGGGGGCUGUGCCGCGUGGUGGUCGAGGCGGCGACGGGAUGUGGUGGUUGAGGCAGCGGCGUGGAUGUGAUUAUGGCGGAGAUUUGAUGGAAAACAUAUAUUUUUUUACCAUUUGAAUAUGAUUUUCAUGAUCUUCAAGAGAUUGUGCUUGAUUUGUGUUCAAAGUGGUAGAUCUAGGUUUUCCCAAAGUUGGUAGGUGACUACGGGUUGAGACGGCUGCAGAUGUUGGCUAUUAGGGUUUGACGGCUGAUGCUUUGAGGAUGCUAGGGUUUGGUCGUACAACGUAGUAUACCAUAGUACACCGUAGAAUACCAUAGUACACCUUAAUUAAUAUACCAUAGUACACUGUAGUAUUAAUAUACCAUAGUACACUGUAGUAUACCGUAGUCUACUACAGUAUUGACAACAACAAAAAAAAAAAAAACGAAAAUAGUCUGUAGAAUAAAAUAUUUUUUUGAUAGUUGUGUGUAAACCAUAGUACAACAUAGUAUAUCAUAGUAUUUUAAAAAUCUGUUGAAUUAUUUAACGAAACCCGAAAUUCGAAAAAUAAGGAAAAAAUAUUGUUUUAUAAUAAUGUAAAAAGUGCUAGAGUGAAAAUUGAAAAAAGAAAGAUGAGUGAAAGGGUAUUUUCGGAAUGAAUUUAAUAAAGGAUGUGAAGCAAAUGUUUAGUUGAACUUGUCAUUUAGUUCAAAUUAAUUUUGUCACCAGGGACCUAUAUCUUAAGACCCCAAAGAAGUAUUGAUGAGUUAUAUUAGACAUGACCACGGGGCGGGUCGGGUCCGGGUCCAACUUUUAGGGGACCCGAAACCGACCCGCGGGUAGGCGGGUCCGGGUUCGGGGCGGGUCCACCCGGGUCCAUCCGGGUCCGGGCCGGGUCCGGGUCCACCCGGUUUUUCAAUUUUUUUAUUUUUUUUUUAAUUAUUAUUAAACAAAAAAAACUUAUAUUGAAACUUGAAAAAACAUGAGAUUAAUUUUAAAUUCAAAAUUGAAAAUAUAAUUGAAUUUAAACAUUAAACAAUUUUAGAAAAAAAGGAAACGAUUAAGACCUUGAGACAUAAACUAAAUAAAAUGAAAGUUGUGAAGAUUGGAUUAUGCGUAUUUAUAAGUGAAAAUAAUAAUUUUCAAAUUUUCAAAAUUCAAAAAAAGCAAUAUUCAAUCUUUCUUUUAUAUUAAAUCGUAUUUUUUUUAUUUUUCAAAAUUAAAUAUAUAUGCAUUUGUUAUGAGUCGGGAUUUUUGAUAUUAAUAAUAGUCAACAUGACAAUUAAUAAUUUAUAAAACAUUAGUUAUACAAUUAUUAUAAUCAUUUGAUAGUGUUAUUUAUAUUUAUAUAUUUAUUGUUAGCAUUAUUAUAACAAGAAAUAUAUAUAACAUAAACAAAAGGUGUAAAAUGAUUAUAAUAAAUAAUUUUAAAUAGAUUAUUAAUUAUCAUAUUCAUUAUUAUUAAAUAAUUUAAUUAAAUUAUUAACAAAUAUAAUAUAAUAAAAAAAAUGAAUGGACUUGAGCUUAAUUCAUUUAAAUCUUACGAUUCGAUUCAAAUAUUUGAAUAAAAUGUAAAUGUAAAAAAAAAAGAUUAAAUCAUAAAGAUCUACAAUUUAAUUGUUACGAUUUUUACAAGCUAACCCAAUUAUUAAAACAGAAAUCACAUCAUAAUAUUUUGAUUAUACUCGUCAUAUAUAGUUUUAUUUUUAAAGUAAGAAAUUAAUUGGAAUGAGAUAUAAUCUAUUUUUGUUAAAGUAAACAUCAUCCAUAUUUUUAAAUAAUUAUCUUAUGAUAAAAUAAUCAAUAAUUUUAAUAAUUCUUGUUAACAAUUGAGGUUAAUCGAUUUAAAUUAAUUGAAAUGAGUUAUAAUCAUAUUUUUUAAAUAAACAUCUUAUUUUAUUUUUCACUCGAAUUUUUCACACUAUCGAUUUUAAUAACAUAAGUGAGUUUGUAUUAAGUCAACGCGUUUGUUUAUAUAUUUAAUUGAUUCAAUACUUUAUAUUUUUCAAUAGUGGAGAUUAUAUUGAUUUAAUAAUUAAUAGAUAUUUUGAAGUAUUGAAUCGUGAUUCUAUAUAUUUUUUUAAAAGUUUCUUAUAUUGCAUUUAUUAAUAACUAGUAAUUGUACCCGUGCGAUGCACGGGACAACAAAUUGCAUUGUUUUGAUGUUGUAAGAAUAUAAACAAACGUUUGAUGUAUCGUAUGAUCAAAAUUCUAUUAUACUGGAACAUCAUUAAAUAUACUACACACAAAAAAAAGGAAAUAACUUUACUGUUGAAUAAUUUUCCAAAUGAUUUGAAUCAGCUAUUACCAGUAGAUUGAAAAUUUGAACCAGGAAAAAAAUCAUCAACUAUGUCUUUCAUGUUGAGCUUAAAAGUAAUUAGAUUUAAUAACUUAGUUAACAUAAUCAAAACUAAACUAUCGACAACAUAAAAGACCAUCUAUACAUCUUGCAUCGAAACUAAGCCCUUCUCCACUGCCUCAUUUUUAGGCCGUUUUGCCACUGGAAUUAACAAUUGGAAAAUUAAGAAACAAAAAUAAAUAUAAACAAUAAAUUAAAUAUCGCAUACAAACAAUAAGUCUUGAAGGUCGACUUCCAAUAGCUUGUGGCUCCGCCCAUUUUUGGUUAAUUCUCUCAAAUCAUCCAUUUCAAUAACAUGUCCAAUAACAUAUAAAAUGAAAUAAUUGCUAUACAUAAAAUUUGAAAACUUUGGUAUAAAUUAAUGAGAUAAAAGUUGAUAAAAUACGAAAAUAAUAAUUAGAAUAAUAUUUAGGAGAUAAAAUAUGAUUAAAAUAAAAAUUAUUAUUUAAAAUAAUAUUUAGGAGAUAAAAAUUUGAUAGAAAUCGAAAAUAAUAUUUAGGAGACAAUAAUCUGAUAAAAAACAAAAUUAAUAUUUAGGAGAUAAAAAACUAAUGAAAACAUGAUAAAACUCGAAAAAAAUAUUUAAAAUAUUAUUUAGGAGAUAUAACUUUGAUAAAAUUCAAAAAUAAUAUUUAGGACAUAAAAAUCUGCUAAAAGUUGAAAAUUAUAUUUAAAAUUAUAGUUAGGAGAUAUAAAAUUGAUAAAAUUAAAAAAAAUAUUAUUUAUAAUAAUAUUUAGGAGAUAAAAAUUUGAUAAAAAUAAAAAAUAAUAUUAAGGAGACAAAAAUCUGAUAAAAAUAAAAAAUAAUAUUUAAAAUAAUAUUUAGGGGAUACAAAUAUGAUAAAAUUCGAAAAUAAUAUUUAAAAUAAUAUUAAGGAGAUAAAAAUUUGAUAAAAAUUGAAAAACAAUUACAAAUAUGACAUUAGGGUUUCUUAGGGUUGCCCUAGCGUUUCUUUCUUUUAUAUAUAAGAUUUAAUUAAAAUUAUUUAAUAACAAUUAAUAUGAAAAUUAAUAAUUUAUUUAACAUAUUUAUCAUUUUACACCAAAGUUUUAUAUUAUAUAUAUUUAUUCUCUACACCAGAGUUUCACAGGUUCGAACCCCCUAAUGUGCUUUUUUUGUACAAAAAAAACCGGUUUAAUACCCGGGUCCCGGGUCGGGUCCUCGGGCCGAGUCCCACGGGUGGACUCGACGGGUCUCGGAUCCUGGAAUUGGGGACCCGAAACCGACCCGGGCUUGGUCGAGUCCGGUCCGGGUCCAUGAUCAACGGGGCGGGGCCGGGUCAGGGCGGGGCGGUCUUCGGAAGGAAGGUAAGCAUGCGAGAAUUCUUUGCAUACCUAAUUCAGAAACGGCAUGGAGAACCUUCGUUACUUUUGCAUUCCAAGAAGUUAUUUCAGCAAUUCUGUGUUGAUGGAUUUUCGAUGGUUGAGUCACAGAGGUUGAAUUUCAUAAGGUUCAUAGGGUUGACAUGUACAAGGGUAUCUAAGAAAAGAUUUUUAAAGGAGACACUGAGGGUAAAUCGGUUGGACAACGCAUUAUAAUUCCAGGGUCGUUCACCGCAGGUCCAAGGUAUAUGUUUAACAACUUCGUUGAUGCUCUUCAAAUAUGUAACUGGAUUGGAUUUGCAACCCUUUUCAUCACUAUCACAUGCAAUCCCCAAUGGCCAGAAAUACAAAGGGUAUUAAAAGAUUCAAAUCUCAGGCCGGAGGAUCGGCCAGACAUUCUGUGUCGUGUGUUCAAAAUGAAGCUCGAUAGUAUGAUGACGGAAAUCAAGAAGGGCCGUAUAUUUGGACGUAUUAGAGCAUGUGAGUAUUUAAUUAGAUAUCCAUUUAUAAUUAAACAUUUAAUACGUUUAUAUAAAUUAGAUAAUUUAGUCAUGUGCGAUUUUAACUACUUUUUGCUUCAUUAAUUAAAUUAAUUCAUAUUUUUUAAUACCGUAUGUUUACAUUUUUUAUGCAGAUGUAUGCACAAUUGAAUUUCAGAAACGAGGUCUACCGCAUGCACAUAGUUUAUUGUGGUUGCAUAAUGACGACAAGCCCAAGAAUCCAGAAGAAAUUGACAGGAUCAUAUGUGCUGAAAUUCCUAACGAAGAAAACGACAGAAAGAUGUACCAGUUGGUGGAGAAGUAUAUGAUACAUGGAACGUCCGGUCAGGCGAAUUUGAAAUCUCCAUGUAUGAAAGAUAGAGUUUGCACGAAGCGAUUUCCAAAGACGUUUGUGCAACGCACUGAAUCAGAUGCAGAUGAGUUUAAAGUGUAUAGGAGAAGGGAAGAUGGCAGAACAGUUACGAAGAAGAAGACUACUCUUGAUAAUGGGUUUGUGGUCCCCUACAAUCGUAUAUUGUUGAGUAAAUACCGAGCUCACAUUAAUAUCGAGCUAUGCAACCAAAACAAGUCAAUUAAAUACCUGUUCAAAUACGUAAACAAGGGGCAUGACCGAGUCACAACGGCAUUUUAUGAGACACGCAAUACAGAUGGCGGUGCUAAGAUUUGUGAUGAGAUAAAGAUGUACUACGACUGCAGAUAUCUUUCGGCGUGUGAGGCAAUAUGGAGGUUGUUUAACUUUGAUAUUCAUUACAGAGACCCGUCCGUAAUUAGGCUAAGCUUUCAUCUCCCCGAUCAUCAGCCACUUGUCUUCAAUGAAAACCAGUCGUUACAAAGUGUGUUGGAUAGGCCAUCUGCCAAGCAAAGAAAACAUAUUGGUGUUAGAUGAAUUGGAUUACGACCGGUUUGAAAUGGGUAGAGAACUUCAACAAUGUCUUGCUUCCAUUACAGAUGAGCAAAGAAAGGUUUAUGAUGUAGUCAUGGAUGUUGUAACCAAUGACAGUGGUGGAAUGUUCUUUCUAUAUGGCCAUGGUGGAACGGGAAAGACGCUUCUAUGGAAAACUCUUUCGGCUGCAGUUCGUUCGAAGGGAGAGAUUGUAAUUAACGUUGCAUCGAGUUGUAUAGCAUCGUUAUUGCUCCCCGGUAGAAGAACAACUCAUUCUUGAUUCGGACUACCCAUAAAUGUACAUGAGAGUUCCACCUGCAGCAUAUCGCAACAAAGUCCACAGGCAGAGUUGCUCAUAAGGGCAAAGCUUAUUAUAUGGGACGAGGCUCCUAUGAUGCAUAGAUACUGUUUUGAAGCCCUUGACAAGACAAUGAAGUCAAUAUUACAGGCUGACAAACACUUUGGUGGUAAGGUGGUUGUUCUUGGAGGUGAUUUUAGGCAGAUUUUACCAGUUGUGCUCAAAGCAUCAAGGUAGGACAUAGUACAUGCUACGAUAAACUCCUCUCCGCUGUGGAAUUUAUGUCGUGUCAUGAAGUUGACUGAGAACAUGAGAUUGCAGCCAUGUUCUUCUCUAUCUAAUGUGGAUGAGAUAAAAGAAUUUGGAGACUAGAUACUGAAUGUUGGUAAUGGGGAUGUUGGGGAGGACAAUGAUGGUGAAGCUUCAAUAGAGACUCCAGAUGACAUGUUGAUUGGUGAUUCAGAAGAUCCAUUCAGAGACCUACUCGAAUUCGUUUACCCGGAUUUGUUGAGUAACAUUUACGAUCGAGAUUAUUUUCAAGGGAGGGCAAUUCUUGCACCAACUAAUGAAUGCAUCGAGUCUGUGAACGAUCACUUAAUGUCUCUCCUUCCAGGAGACGAGAAGGUGUACCUGAGCUCAGAUAGUAUGUGUAGGGACGAGCACACAACGGAGGAUAAUGCAGAAAUUUAUUCGACUGAAUUCCUCAACACAAUAAGAUGCUCUGGAGUUCCUUCUCAUGCGUUGAGGAUCAAGGUUGGUGCACCCGUUAUGCUAAUAAGAAACAUCGAUCAAGCUAGAGGAUUAUGCAAUAGUACCAGACUUCAAAUUAUUAGAACUGGCAUUCACGUUCUGAGUUGCAAAAUUCUUCCCGAAAAAAAAUCGUUGACAUGGUGUUCAUUCCUCGGAUGACUUUAAUACCAUCUAACUCCGGACUGCCAAUUAAAUUUCAGAGAAGACAAUUUCCGUUGAUUGUUUCUUUUGCAAUGACGAUAAAUAAAAGCCAAGGCAGAACUCUUUCGCAUGUUGGUUUGUAUCUUCCUAGGCCUGUCUUCAGCCAUGGUCAACUAUAUAUUGCAGUGUCCAGAGUUAAGAGCAGAGGUGGCAUUAAGAUAUUCAUCAAGUCGGAUUCGGGUGAACUCACCAAUGUUACUAGAAAUAUCGUGUACAAGGAAGUAUUUCAUCGAAUUUGAAGGUAGAAAAUAUUUUCAUAUUUAUCAUUUAUUCAUGUGACAUGUUUUUUAUUUUAUUUUUAAAGAACUUAUUCUUUUGCAUGUGUUUCUUAUCUAUAUAUUUUCCUCGGUGCGAUGUUAUUUUCAGUCAUUUUCCUAGAGUGCUCGGUGCAAUUUUUAUUAUCUUUAAAAUUUAUUUUUGACGAUAUACUAAUAUUUAAUAGUAUUCUUAUAUUAUAACUAUGAAGAACAUGAAACUUAUAACAUAUUUUUAUUAUCGUUGGUCGAUUACGUUAUGUACUUAGAUUCAGUGACCGUAAUAAUUGUUAUCUGCUUAAAUUUAUUUUUGAGACAUGUAUUUUCAGUAAAAAAUAUGUCGCCCCGUGCAUCGCACGGGUGAAUACUAGUAACAUAUAAAAUGAAAUAAUUGCUAUACAUAAAAUUUGAAAACUUUGGUAUAAAUUAAUGAGAUAAAAGUUGAUAAAAUACGAAAAUAAUAAUUAGAAUAAUAUUUAGGAGAUAAAAUAUUAUUAAAAUAAAAAUUAUUAUUUAAAAUAAUAUUUAGGAGAUAAAAAUUUGAUAGAAAUCGAAAAUAAUAUUUAGGAGACAAUAAUCUGAUAAAAAACAAAAUUAAUAUUUAGGAGAUAAAAAACUAAUGAAAACAUGAUAAAACUCGAAAAAAAUAUUUAAAAUAUUAUUUAGGAGAUAUAACUUUGAUAAAAUUCAAAAAUAAUAUUUAGGACAUAAAAAUCUGCUAAAAGUUGAAAAUUAUAUUUAAAAUUAUAGUUAGGAGAUAUAAAAUUGAUAAAAUUAAAAAAAAUAUUAUUUAUAAUAAUAUUUAGGAGAUAAAAAUUUGAUAAAAAUAAAAAAUAAUAUUAAGGAGACAAAAAUCUGAUAAAAAUAAAAAAUAAUAUUUAAAAUAAUAUUUAGGGGAUACAAAUAUGAUAAAAUUCGAAAAUAAUAUUUAAAAUAAUAUUAAGGAGAUAAAAAUUUGAUAAAAAUUGAAAAACAAUUACAAAUAUGACAUUAGGGUUUCUUAGGGUUGCCCUAGCGUUUCUUUCUUUUAUAUAUAAGAUUUAAUUAAAAUUAUUUAAUAACAAUUAAUAUGAAAAUUAAUAAUUUAUUUAACAUAUUUAUCAUUUUACACCAAAGUUUUAUAUUAUAUAUAUUUAUUCUCUACACCAGAGUUUCACAGGUUCGAACCCCCUAAUGUGCUUUUUUUGUACAAAAAAAACCGGUUUAAUACCCGGGUCCCGGGUCGGGUCCUCGGGCCGAGUCCCACGGGUGGACCCGACGGGUCUCGGAUCCUGGAAUUGGGGACCCGAAACCGACCCGGGCUUGGUCGAGUCCGGUCCGGGUCCAUGAUCAACGGGGCGGGGCCGAGUCAGGGCGGGGCGGUCUUCGGAAGGAAGGUAAGCAUGCGAGAAUUCUUUGCAUACCUAAUUCAGAAACGGCAUGGAGAACCUUCGUUACUUUUGAAUUAAAAAACAAAUUGACUUAUUGUAAGUGGACAUGUUGGGGAUUUUUGUCAAAUAAUCCCAUCUAUUUUAUAUAGCCCACGGACACAUAAGAGAGCCCAAAUAUUCAGCAAAACAGUCAAAAAGUCAAAAUCACAAAACAAAGGGGCGACUGAAAUUCAAGAAACGUGUGGAAAAUAAUUAAAAAAAGAAUAAAAUAUUAAUAUCCGUAACCGACAAGGAUAAGUACUCCUUUCUGACCCUCCGAUGAGAUUAAUCAUAACCGUCCACUCAUCACCGACUCUUCUAUAAAUACCCAUCCCCUCAUUCCUUCUACUCCCGUCUUUUAUUGGUUCAAUCGCCUUUGGUUCUCUGCGAAUUGGAAUUUGGUUUGAAUAUUGAUUCUGUUUAUUUGUCGUCUCCAUUUUUUUUUUGAUUAUAUGUAUAUCAUCGUCGCUAUGAAACCUGCGCAAUUCAAUUCAACCGGCUGCGAUUAUCCGUCGUAUGUUUUUUCUCUUUCGUGGUACCGUGUGAUCGUGGUCCUGAUUUAAUUUUAUUUGGGUAAUUUUGCCGGUCUGAUAAUCAGAUCGUCAUGGAUUCGCCGGCGUAUAUUUGCGAGGCCGUCUGAUUGUGAUUCUGAAUUGGUUUUAUUUUGGUGAUUUUGAUCGGGCGAGGUAUUAGGUAUGGUUUUCGGUUAUGCAUUAACAAGUGGUUUAUUAUCAUGGGUUUUGCGUUUGGAUUGUGUUUUCUCUUGCCAGGGUUUGGUAAUCGACUGAUUUGAUUUUUGCUCCACCUGGUUUGAACAUGAUUCUUUGUAGAAGAAAGAGCUUCGAAUUUGAGUAUGUUCUCCCCUCGUUGUCAUAAUUGUGUUUAUAUGACUAUUUGUUGUUCAGAUAAGAUGUUUUGGCUAAUGAUUCUAAGCAGAGUGUCUGGUAAAGUUUCUUUCGAUUUACAUAUACGAGUCUCUCCACCAGGUUCUCCUUAUGAUAUAUAUGCGCACAAUUUGAUAUUCGUUGACCUUCGACCGUUGCUUUUGACUGUGUUGUGGUAAUAAAGUAGGAACUCAGCUCUGAAACACCUCUCAGUUCCGGAUAUUGUUCAAUCUUGCUUUCGACCGUUGCUUUGGACCUCCUUAUUUCUCUAACUUUAAAUCACAAUUUCUUUUACUGCGUCUUUGAAAUCCCUUUGCUGUUUUACAGCUUUAUUUUGGUGGUGAUCCUACUAUUUGGUACUUUCUGUUUUGUGGUUUUAGGAAAUGUUUCAUCUUUAUUUUAUGGAGCUAAGCUAACUGUGCAACUACAACGAUUGAUCUCAUUUUACUAUAGCUUACGCUCACCUGGAUAAUGUGGAUAGGAGCUCAUGUACACCUGGAUUAUGUGGAUAGGAUCGCCAAUUGCUUAAGAUAGAGAUCUCGAUUGGAUCUGAUGACAGGAAGAUAAUUUAUUUUGUGAUUUAAUUAGCUUAUGGAUCUUUCUUUUGUUUCUGAUUGUGUAAUAUGUUGAUGAGUGGGUUUUUGUCAGUUCCAGAUUGUAUAUUCUUAUGUAAUCAUCAUCCUUCUCAUUCAAUUUUCAAAUAUAACCAUAUGUUUUCAAAUCUAUUUGGGUGAUUUUGAUAUGGCAUGUGGUAUGAUGUUUGCUUAUGGGCCACUAUUUUGUCUAUUUUCCGAUUGUGUGGGUGGCAUAGACUUCGAAGGAAAUGGUUAAAAUAUGAUUUUCUCCUUAUCCUGGUUGUGCUUCUCCUCUCGAAAAUUGAUGGUGGAUGUCCUACCAUGGUAACUUUUGUUUGUGUAUUUUAGGGGGUCUGCGGUAGUUCCAUCUUUGGACAGGAUAACCCAUUGCUUCAGCAGAAGAUGGAUUAGUGCAGUUGGAUCUGAGAUUGAGUCUUAUUAACGGACGACAUAAUGUGGAAGAUAAUUUAAUUUCUGAUUUAUUUAUCUCAUGAAAAUUUUCUUGCUUCUUAGUGAGAUGCGUCUCCGGUUCUUUGAGAGAGUAUUUUCUAAUGUCUCCCUCAACCAUCACCUUUUCGUCCAAUUUUCAUAUUACUACUUUAUACGGUCUUAUUGCUUUCAAAUCCUCUGUUCUUUUCCUUUCUGUCUGCAGACAUUUGCAACAAAAAUGACGGUGGGCCUUCUCUUUUGGGUUUUAAAGAAAUUUUUGCUAGUUCCAUCUGCAUUACUCUGGCCUAUUGACUAAGCGGGAAGAUAAAUUAAUUUUGUGGCUUAAGGGAAGUGUCGUAGUUCAAUUUUACUAUCUGAAACUACAUGUUCUAUGGGAAUGAUGAAUCUGAUUUUACUAUUUCUUGAGCAAACCGUUGGAAAAUGAGCUUCAGAGUCUCUUAUGUAAAGCUACAGAUGUGAUGGAUACUUAAUGGUGAAGAUAAUCUAAC
rnacentral:lncRNA from 1 species